rnacentral:lncRNA from 1 species
AAGGAUGCUUUGGUGGUGAUGGUGGUGGAGGUGGUGGGGACUUGUACUUGUAAGGGUGCUUGGGUGGUGAUGGUGGUGGAGGUGGUGGAGACUUGUACUUGUAAGGGUGCUUGGGUGGUGAUGGUGGUGGAGGUGGUGGAGACUUAUACUUGUAAACUGGAGAUGGUGGGGGUGGAGACUUGUACUUGUAAGGGUGCUUGGGUGGUGAUGGUGGUGGUGGUGGGGACUUGUACUUGUAAGGAUGCUUGGGUGGUGAUGGUGGUGGAGGUGGAGGAGACUUGUACUUGUAAGGAUGCUUGGGUGGUGAUGGUGGAGGAGGUGGUGGAGACUUAUAGUUGUAAACAGGAGUUGGUGGGGGAGGAGAUUUGUACUUGUAAGGCUUCUUGUGUGGUGGUGGUGGUGGAGAGUAGACCGGAGGAGGCGGUGGUGGAGACUUGUAAUGGUAAGGUGGUGGUGGGUACUUCUUAGGUGGUGGUGGAGGAGAAGAAUAAGUGUAAUCUGCUGAGGUUUCAAAAGGCAAAUUGAGAGACACUGCUAAAACUAAAAGAGUGAGAAAGAGAGAGGUCAUUGAUGACCCCAUUUUCCCCAUCCUUACUUCUAAAAAUGGGUUUAAUUUGGUUAUGCUCUUAGCAGCCCUCUUCACUCCCUUUAUAUAGACUUUGUUUUAAAGUUACAAUCAUGAUAAAAGUGUGAAGGUGGACCGAACCUUCAGCAGCAUUGAAAAAAGACGUUACGUUUAGGUUAUUAGCAUGGUAUGACAUAAUAAUUCUCUAUUCUCUUCCUUGUCGUUUCCCAUAAAUUUAAUUUAAAUAGUCCAUUUGCUAUAUUUAUAUUUCUGUUUCUCUAUUAAAUAUUUAUCAAAUUCAUUUCUCACUCCUUAUAGAAUAUGAAUAAUUAAUCAUUAAACUCGAUUUAGUAAAUACUUUAAAAAAUGAUUUAUCUUAUUUUUAUGCUUUAAUUAAGGCAUCAAAUCAUUAAUCCCAUUUGAUAUUAUGAAAAUUUAUCACUUAAUUGAUCAAAAUGUGAUUCUUGGCAGGAAAACAUAAUUUACUUUCCUUAAAAUGUAAUUUUUAUUGAGAGUUAUUUUUCCACUAACAAUAGAAAGUGAUUCUCUUUAUAAUUCGUGAAAAAAUUACUUUCACAUGUAAAUAAAAAUUGUUAGGAUAAAAUUAACUUUUCUUUUAUUUAUGUUAAGGUUACUAAUUAACUUAUUCAACUUUAAUAAAAGAUAAACAUAGUUGUAGCUUGUUUGUUGAUGUUAGUUUUUUGUCUUUACAACUUCAAACCAUUAUUCUAGUGUAAUUUUUUUUUCUUUCUAAAUAGUAGAUAAGUAUCUAUAUUUUAUUUUGCUAUAAGAAAAUUAUAUUUUUUAGCAUACAAAACUUAAGAUAACUUGUAGAAUCAAGUAGUUGUAUACCUAUUACUCUAGCAAUAAUAAUAUUGACAUUGUCUACUUUCAAAUUAAAAUUUCAAAUUAGUUCAUUGCCCAAUUUUCUCAUUAAAAAAAAUUAUAUAUAACAUGUCAACUUAACGAAACUUACAUGAAAUUUUGUAUGUGUUAAAAAUGAAAAAUAUGGCGGUUAUUAAAAAAGAUGUCAUACAUCUAAAUCAAACUACUAAUUUAAAAAUUAGUAUUGAGAUAAUUUCAAGCCAUAUAUGCAAUAUUUGAGUAUACUUGAACUUAUACAUACAAAUUAGUGAGGAUUAAAAUUUUGUAAAUUGUACAUCUUCACAAUCUUGCGUUAAUAUACAAUUUUUUUAAUGUAUUAAUAUAAUGUUUUAGAUCAAGACGUGAAAAAACAUAAUUCAAAUAUUUGUUAAUAGUAAAAAAUUAUUAAUAAAUAUUUAAUUCAAAAUUUAUUAAUAAUAAAAAUUAUUGAAAAAUAUUAAAUACGUUAAUAUUAUUUUUAUUUAAUAAUGAUACUUUUGUACAGUAAUCUUAUAUUCCCAAAUAAGUGUUAAAUGUGUCAAGAUUUUAAUCAAUACUUUCCGGUGAUUACCAAACGUUGUGAAGUAACUUCUUAAACAAUAAUAUUCUUAUCAAUCACAUUCCAUUAAAAUUUUAACAUAGAAAAGCACCAAAACGCCCCCUUAAAAUCGUGGUAAGUCUUGUUUGUCUAAAAUUUAAAUAUUUAUUUUAUUAUUUAAAAUAUAUUAAUUUUCUAAAAAAAAUCAUUAAUAUUUAUAUUUCUAAUUUUAAACAUUCUUUUGUUAAUUAAAUGAUAGUCUAAACGGUUAAACUCAAAUCGAAAGCAUUUUAUCUUAUAUUAGAUUAUAUGAAUCAUAUUAUGGUUGAAAGUAAAAUGUAUAAAAUCAAUACAAACAUCAAAUAUUAAACUUCCACUCAAUAGAUUUUAAAAUUUCUAAUUUUAUCACUAAUCUAUUUUAAGAUUUUUUUAAAAAAAAUCGUACUUUAGAUUAUCUAAUUUAAAAUUUUAUAAAAUUAUUAAAAAAUAUUCUUGUAAUAAAAAAAAUUUGUUUUAAAAUUUUUAAUUUUUUAUAUAACCAAUGAAUUUUUUACGUUUGUUUUAACUGGUUAUCUAAACAAAAUAAAAACUUAUUUAGUUUAAAUAAAGUGGUAAAUGUGAAAGCACCACAAAUCACAACUACAUUAGUUUUAUAAUUGGAUUAAUUUAAUCACCGGCAGAGGAAAUGUGUUAGUUCUAGCUACCAACAAUUCAUUUUAAUUCCUUUAAAAAUAUUAGAAAAAACCAAUUUGAUUUUUAAUAAUAGAUCUAAUUACUUAAAGGAACAUGGGUGAUGUGCACAUGGCAUACAAGCAUAAAAAAGAACAAAAAGAUUAAGUAUCUUUGCAAAAUAUCUCUCUCUGAAAUAAAUAAAACUUAAAAAAAAACAAUUUUAUUAUCAAAAUAAAAAGAAAAUAGUGUUUUUCUUCACAAAAAAAGAAAAGAAAAGAAAUACUAGUGUUUUUAAUUAAAAUAGAGUGAUCUGGGUAGAAUCUUUUACUUAAAUACUGACAUUGACUUUAUAAGCUAUUUUUUAUCAAAAGAAGAAAGAGAAAAGCAUCCGAUUGAAGAUGUGAAUUAUUAAGUUAAAAUUAAUCAUACAUGUAAAAUAUUAUUGUGCUUUUUUCUAGCCCUCCGAAAGACAUUAUGCUUUGAUUACAACAUUCUUCCUCAGAGAUGAGGUUUGAAGAUGAACUCGGAUGCAUUUAGAUUUUUACAAGACGAAAGUAAAUUAAAGGAUGUUAGUACUUGUAUUCCGAUACGCUUAUAAUACAGAAAGCAAGUAAUAUGUGACUGUACAUAAUGGCUAUGAGGCGAGGAUAUGAUACGAGAAGAUAGAGAUGAGAGAUUGCACUUAAGGGGUUAGCACCUCUUUUCUUUUUGUGUUUGGUCCCCAAAGCAUAUCUCUUAUUGGCUGAUGUUGCAAGGCGGUCCCAUAAGUUGGGCUAAAAGUGCUUGAUAGCUAGAAUUAAUAUUGUGGUAUAACAUAUGUCACCCCUAUAUUUGAAUAAGGUUACAAAGUGACUACUUGAAGAUUUAAAAAAGCAUGGAGAUAAUUUUGUUGCGAAAAUUAAAAGUAAGAGCUAAAUUGUUUGGCUUUAUUAGAGUAUAGACUCUGUUAGUCUAUUAUCAUUUUGUUAUAUAGGCUGGAAUAUUAUUAGUAAGCAGUUAGCAGCAGUUAGUCAUACAAGUAUAAAUUCUAUUCAUGUAUUGUUCAAAGAUAAGCUAAUAAUACCAGAAGAGAUUUAACAUGUUCAUUCUACUUUUUUUUGUUAUUCUUCAUAAUACAGUUGUUAACAUGGUCUCAGUCGCCAAAUUUCUUGGAGGUUGCUUCUAUUGUAGAUCCAUGGCCAAUUCCACUGAUUCUACCUUCGCUGGUCGUAGCAGUCCCUCAUUCUCAGUUCAUGUUUGGUUCAAUCGUUUCCUCGUCAUGGCACUGUGAAGUUAGAUGAAGGAAAUUUUGUACAAUGGCAACAGCAUAUCCAAUUGAUAAUUGAAGGAUAUGAACUCAUAAGAUUUUUAGAAGGGACGUUACCUGCUCCGCCUCGCUUUGUGUCAUCUCCGGAUGGAAACUUAGCUCUGACUCCCGAUGCAUCCCUGUUUGUUCAGCAAGAUAAGUUACUCGCUUAUUGGUUACUUUUUACGAUUAGUGCUCCUUUGUUUUCUUGUUUUACAACUGCUAAGACGGCGUGUGAGGUUUGGAGCACUGCGAAUUGCCUAUUUGCUGCUGCCACUAGAGCCAAGCUUUCGCGUAUUAAGCAUGAACUCCAGUCCAUCACGAAAGGCGUGAUGACUAUCAAAGAGUAUAUUGCUAAGAUUCAAAAUACUUGUGCGUUACUCGAGGAAUCUAGAUCAGUGGUUUUAAAGGCUGAAAAGGUAGAGAUCAUUCUUGCCGGCCUAUUGUCUGAUUAUGAUGUCGUUUUAACUCUGGCAUCGUUCUCAACUGAAACUUUUUCGUUAUAAAAGAUUGUUGAUAUGCUUCUGGAGUUCGAAAGCCAUCAGACUCAAGCGGUGAACGACGUACCUUUUCAUGCUCAUUUGGUAGAGGCCACUUCGGCGACAUCCGUGGAGGACUCCGUACGUGGUGGUCGUCCUCCUUCUGGUGCUCGUAGGCGCGACUUUCGAUCUCAGCUUCAGUGCCAGGACUAUGGUUGCUAUGGACAUUUGGUACAAUGCUGUUAUUAUCAGUUCAACCGCGACUACAGUGAUCUGUCUGUUUUGACCAUGGCGCGGGUUUCGCCUGUUCAUGCUGAUCACAAUUAGCAUAACGAUGUUUUUGGCGCAAGUGGUCUCUCGACUAGCUGGUUUUCAUCAACUUGUCCUGGUCCGGACCCGUUCGUGCCUGGACAGUAUGUCGAUUCUUUGGUGGUGACACCGGCGUAUUUCUCUUAUGGCUCAUCAUGGUGAGGGUGGCCACAUUUGCAAAACAAUGCCUCCCUUGUGCCAAGUUUGUUGAAUGUUAAGGUUUCUAACCCUUUUGCUCAUAAUUUUGACGAUGGGGCAGGCUAGGUGUUUGGGCUCGCUGUUGGACCAAGCUCAAAUUGUGGCCAAUUUGGUGGUCCUCACUUACCGCGGAGAAUGGGCCAGCACGUUAGGCCAUUUGCUAGUGUUCCUAGGCCGACUGGUUCAGGCCAAGAUUUUGGGCCAUAUGGAAUUCGUAGGCUAACCAGUGCUGGUCCUAACAUUGGACAGGGUUCACUUGGGCCAAAUGUUAAUUUUGUUAGACUUGAGGGCUCUUUUGGGCAUGGACAAGGACUUUGGCCCACCACUGGCAAUGUUUCAGUGCCAAAUAAUGGGUCAUGCGUUCCAUGGCGCACUAAACUGACGGCGCACAUUAUUGAUUGAUUUCUCACUGUGUGUUGGGUUGCCUCACAUUCUUGAUUUUCAUGUGUCUGAUAUUUUUACUACCUCUGGGUCCAAUGCUAACACGACUCCGUAUGGGUCUAAUUUUGAUAAUGAUAACUCUUACAUUCCUAUGCCUGUAGGGACCUUGUCCUGGUGUCUUAAUUCAGGGUCUAUACAUCAUGUCUAUCGAGAAGCCUCUACCUUGAACGAGUCUACGCCAUACUCAGGUACAUCUCCUCUCCUCAUGGAUGAUAUUACUCCUACAAAAAUAUCAUGUGUUGGAAACUCUAUCUUGCCUACGAAGACUAAGCUGUUUCAUCUAUCUAAUGUUUUGUGUGUGCCAAAUAUACGGAAGAAUCUGCUAUCUGUCUCUCAAUUUGCUAAUGACAAUAAUAUGGUCUUUGAAUUUCACCCGUCUUAUUGAGGACAUCCAGACUCAGGAAAUUUUGCUUCGGGGCCACACUCGUGAUGGGCUCUAUUAUUUUUCGUAGGUUACUCAUGUUCCGUCUGUCGUUGUUCCUUCUGUUCACAACACUGGGCUCCAGAGUCGCAAUGCCGGUGAUGAUGUUUUUACGUUAUGGCACUACAGACUUGGUCAUCCGUCUGCCUCGAUUGUUAAACUUGUUCUCGAUAAGUGUCAAGUUGUUUCAACUAAAAUGUACCUUGAAAAUAUUUGUAUUGCUUGUCAAAAGGGGAAGUCCCAUAAACUGUCUUUUUCAAGUUCUACUACUAAAUAUACGGAUUUGUUUGAAUUGGUUGUCUUUGACUUAUGUGGACUGGCAUCUGUUGUCUGUAGAAAUAAUCUGUAUCAUGUUUCGUUUAUCGACAUGUGUAGUUAUUUUACUUGGAUUUAUCUCAUUAAACGUAAUUCUAAGGAGGUUGAAUGUUUUCUUCAGUUUCAGAAAAUGGUCAAAACUCAGUUUGGGAAAGAUAUUAAAAAAAUUCAAAGUGAUUGGGGUGGUGAGUUUCUUGCCUUUACGUCAGUUCUGGCUAGUCAUGGGAUACUUCAUCACCUCUCCUGUCCAUAUACAUCCGAGUAGAACGAUGUAGCUGAACGAAAACAUCGACACAUUGUUGAGAUGAGUCUUAUUCUAUUGGCCAAAGCUAACCUAUCCAUGGAUUUCUGUGGUUUCGUAUUUUACAAUGCCAUUCAUCUCAUUAGUCUUCUACCGACCCUAGUUCUGAAAGGUCAGUCUCCAUAUCAGGUUCUUCAUGGUAGUGACCCUACAUAUGAUCAUUUACAAGUAUUUAAGUGUUGUUGAUUUUCGUACCUGCGUCUGUUUCUGCAACACAAGUUGGAUUUUCAUUCUCAGCCAUGCAUAUUUUUUAGGUAUAGUUCUCAACAUAAAGGCUAUCACUGCCUCACACCAAAUGGUAAGGUCAUUGUCUCUCGUCAUGUUGUGUUUGAUGAACGUUGGUUUUUCUUUUCUUCAAAUGCUGUGAACACCGUUCAGUUAAGUCCAUGUAUCUCUACAUAUGUUCCUAUUGUUCGGUCUUCAUCUUGCCGCCCCACGACAUCUUCGCUUGUUCGACCCACUGAGUCAUCGACUCUUGCUCCUAAUUGUAGUUCCACGCUGUCUGUUUCAGUUGACACUCCGGCUGAAUUAGGUUUUACUCAUGAGGUGCAUCGGCUCUCUACCUCAUCCCUUGAAUCUCGUCAAUGCGAUCCAACUACAAUUCCAUUGGCUGUUCCAUCUAUUUCUCUGGAAUACUCAUAACACUAUUACUCAGCUAGACCCAAAGCUCUGUCUGUUGAAAUUGUCAACUGUGAGUCGAUCACGAUUGAAGAGGCGCUCGCUAGUAAGGAAUGGCAAUUAGUUGUCCAAGCUGAGUUUGUUGCUAUAAUGGUUAACUCCACUUGGGAGCUUGUUCCCUUACCUCAUGGUCGAAAAGUGAUUAGGUGUAAGUGGCUUUUUAAAAUAAAAAAAUCCUGAUGGGACUAUCACUUGACGUAAGGCUCGGUUGGAAGCAAAGGGUUGUUCUCAGGUACUCAGGUGUGAUUUCAAGGAAACCUUUAGUUUGGUAGUUAAACCUGCUACUAUUAGAACCAUAUUAUCUGUUGCUAUCUCCAACGGUUGGCAAUUUGGUCAGGUAGAUGUGAACAAUGCUUUUUUAAAUGGUGAUCUUAUUGACGAAGUGUUCAUGCAGCAACCUCUAGGCUAUGUUCAGAUUGGUCAAAAUGGUGAGCCCUUGGUGUAUCAUUUGACAAAGGUGUUGUACAGAUUAAGACAAGCUCCACGUGCUUGGUUUGAUAAAUUGAAACGUUUUUUUGUUUCUAUUGGAUUUGCUUUAUCCAAAUCUGAUGUAUCCUUAUUUGUUCAAGUUAAUUCGAAUCCACUAUUUAUGUUUUAGUCUAUAUGGAUGAUAUUAUCGUUACUAGAAGUACGAUCGACGGUAUAAAUGGCUGUAUUCAAUAGUUACAUAAUGUGUUUCCCUUAAAGAUAUGGGAGAUCUUUACUACUUCUUAGGCAUUGAAGUCACUCGGUAGUCCACUGGGAGUCUCCAUUUGUGCCAACGCAAAUACAUUCGGGAUCUUCUUGACAGUAGUUUUUUAGCUAAUGCAAAGAGUGUUCACACACCGAUGGUUAGUUCUUUUACGUUGUUUAAAGAUGUGGGAGAUCGCCUCGUUGAUCCUACUGGAUAUAGAAGUCUUGUCGGUGUAUUACAAUAUGUGGUCUUGACUCUGCCUGAUAUUGCUUAUGCUAUAAAUCAUGUUUGUCAAUUCAUGCAUGCCCCUACUACAGUACAUUUGGUGGCUUUGAAAAGAAUCUUGCACUAUUUAUGUGACACUAUUAAUCAUGGGUUAAUUUUGUCUGUUCAACAUAUUGUCUUUAGUUGGCUAUGCUAAUGCCAACUGGGGACUGGAUUUUGAUGAUCGUAAAUCAACAACAAGCUAUUGUUUGUAUUUUGGGUAUACACCCAUCUCUUGGUGAUCUAAGAGACAACUCUACUGCGUGAGGCGAAGUAUUUUGGCCGCACCAUGGCUGAGGUGAAGUAUCGAAGUCUAGCAACAACUACCAGUGAUGUUACUUGGUUAGUCUCUCUACUAACAAAAUUACAGAUUCAUUCUAUAGAUCCACAUACUAUUUGGCGUGACAACUCUAAUGCAGUAGCGGUCAUUGCUAAUCCGGUCUGACACUCUAAAUUUAAACAUGCCAAGCUUGAUCUAUUUUUUGUUCGCGAAAAGGUCGCUAAUGGUUCUCUCGUUGUCGGUGAGAUUCUAGCAUGUGAUUAAGUUGCUGACAUUCUCACAAAACCACUGUUCGUCUCUACUUUUGCUAGGUUUCGUAGUCUGCUUCAAUUCUUACCUCUUGAGAAGCUGGGUGAAGCCAGGUGAAUAUUAGAGUAUAGACUCUGUUAGUCUGUUACCAUUUUGUUAUUCAGGCUGGAAUAUUGUUAGUAAGCAGUUAGUCAUAGCAGUUAGUCAUACAAUUAUAAAUUCUAUUCAUGUAUUGUUCAAAGGUAAGCUAAUAAUACCAAAAGAGAUUUAAUGUGCUCAUUCUACUUUCUUUGUUAUUCUUCAUAAUACAGUUGUUAACAUGCUUGAUAUCAUCUCUUAGAGAGAACGAGGAGAGAUAAGAGUAAGAGUAUGAGCCAACUAGGGAUAAGGCUCUACCAUAAUACCUUGGAUGCAAUUAAAGUAAGAGUAAGAGCCAACUUGUUUGGCUUGAUAGCAUCCCCUUAUAGAAAAGGCUCUACCGCAUGGCAUGAGAGCAAUAAAAGUAACACUCAAUUUCUUGGGUUGAUAGCAUCUCCUUAGGGAAAAGGGUUUACCAUGUGACAUGAAAGCAAUUAAAGUAAGAGUAAGAUCCAACUUGUUUGUCUUAAUAGCAUCAUUUAAGAGAAAUAUCCCAAUCAAUUUAUUCAAAUAUGUUAAUCAAAUAAUGCAAGUUACAAUGUUCUGUCAGUUUUUCCUUUAAUUGUAACUGGGUUAAAGUUGGUAGUUGUAACUGCUACUAAUAGAAUGGAUACGGUAGAAAUGGUUGCAAGCAACAUAAGCAAAGAUGACUUUAAUGUCUUUGUAUUGACCACGUGAGAACUAUAGAAUGCAGAGAAUAGUAUGGUGAUUGGCAACAGAAUGCUACUAACCUUGAGGAUAGUAGACAGGGAUGGAUCCACGGGGGUUGGGGGCGGUCCCCCCUUGGAAUUUUUAAAAUUUUAAAUUUUAUAUAUAAAUUAUCAUGUAUUUUAAAUUUGGUGUCCACAUUGUAUAGCAUUCACCCCCCUUUUCCAAAUUGCAUUUCAUAUCAUUUGCCCUCUUAAGCCAUAAGGUUAUACUUUAUAUUAACAAAGUAUUUUCCAUUUUUUAAUUAUAUAAAUUUAAUAAUAAUAAUAAUAAUCAAAUAUUAAUAUAUGAUUGGCAUUGAAAGACUAAACAUAAAGGUCCAGUUGAGACUUUAAAGCCAAAUUCCAUAAUUAAUUAAUUGAUUUGGCCCAUACCAGUACAUAUUAGGUUAGCGAAAUUCUUGUAUUUUGAUUUGUAUGUCUUGCUAAGGAAUUAUCUUCCUUUGGUAAGGUGUUGACACUGCCAAGAGAAAAAGAAAGGAUUUUGAUGUCGAGAUUGUGAGCAUAGAGUAAAAAAAAUACAAAUUAUCUUCCUCUUAGCUCCUUAUGGAAAAAACCUCUCGGUAAAUAUUUUUGCAUAAAUUAUGUUUUUUAUUAAUUUGACUUAGUUUUUUUCUUUUUUCCUAAUACAUUGUUGUUUAAUAUAUUCUUACAAUCAUCAGGUUUUUUGACUAAAUUAUGGUCAAUAAAAACAUCGAAUCUAUUUAAAAAAAAAGAGUGUCAGAAAGCAAUAAUGAUCAACCGGUUCCUCAACCUUCCAUUAUUAGUGAAGAAAAAUCAAAUAUCGGAUCUUCCAAAGCUCUUGAACAAAAUAUCAGGUCUUCUUAAGCCCAAGCUCCUAAAUGCGGUAUGGAGUCUUCCCCAACUCCUGAACGAGAUUGUAACAAUCCAUACCCAAUUCGAUCACCAAAUCCAAGUAGAGAGCGCCGCAACUUAAACCAUAUGAAUUGAAUAAUAAAUAUUUGAAAUUUAUUAAAGUAUCGAGUUCUUGGUGUAACCCUCAGUAUAACAAUACGAAACAAUUAAAUCAAUGAUACGCCAGGAAAAAAUGUUUUUAGGCAAAACACAUGGCGGAAGCCUUACAAAAUUUUAUAAGUUUAUAUAAAAUGUAAGAUGAGUUAAUCCCAUACAACAGUUUCAAGUGCAUCGUUGGCGGUUAAAAGAACAUUCAAAAACUAUUCGGCGUAUAUGCCAAUGAGACAAUCACGUGGAACAAGAUAUAGUAGCUUAAACACAUACAUCACUUACCACGUCAUCAUAACAUAUACUAACCAUAUAAACAAACUUAUCGAGCUGCGAACUAACAAGUUCACCCAAACAUCUAGGGUUAGCGAUAACUUAUUAGAAGAGCCCGCCAAACCCUAGAGUUCGCCAAAACCUGGAGUUCACCAAAUGGCGACUCCCAUAGAAUACGCCAAACACACAACCAAAAAUAAAUACUCUACUAAUUUACUCAUUUUAUAUUCUUAGCAUAAACAACUAUGCACCAAACAGUAACUUGAUACAUUAUCUUUCGGGCGAGUUGUUACAAUUCUCCCCCAUUUAGAAACUUUUGUCCUUGAAAUUCUUACCGGUGAAUAACUGAGGAUAUUGUUCUUUCAUCGAACUCUCUCUUUCCCAAAUGGCUUCUUUUGUAUUGUGAUUUAUCUAUAAUACAUUAACCAAAGGAAUUCUUUUACUUCUCAACUCUUUUACUUCCCUUGCUAAAAUACAAACAGGUUCUUCUUCAUAGGACAAGUUUUGCUCCACUUCCAGUGCUUUGACUUGUACCACAUAAUCUGGAUUGGAUUGAUAUUUUCUUAACAUAGAUAUAUUAAACACAUUAUGUAUAUUUGAUAACUCUGGUGGCAACACCAGUUUGUAUGCCACUGGACCAACUUAUUCCAAAAUCUCAUAUGGUUCUAUGAAAUGCAGACUUAAUUUCCCUUUUUGUUCAAACCUUAUGAUCUUCUUCCAAAGAGAAAACUUCAUAAAUGCAUUGUCACCCACUUCGAAAGAGAUUAUUUUCCUUUUUAGAUCAGCAUAAGCUUUCUGGCGAUCUUAAGUUACUUUCAGAUGAUUUCUAAUGAUAAAGACUUUCUCUUCUGUUUCUCAUACUAAAUCAAGACCAACUAUUUUCCUUUUACUGAGUCUCAUCCAAUAGGUAGGAGAUCUGCACCUUCGUCUAUACAAAGCUCCAAAUGGUAACAUUCCCAGACUGUCAUAAUAACUAUUAUUAUACGCAAACUCUAGCAAAGGAAGAUAUCUUUCUCAAUUCAUUCUAAAAUCUAUAAUACAACCUCUAAACAUGUCUUCUAGAACUUGAAAUACUCUUUCAAAUUGCUCAUCGAAUUAGGGAUGAAAGGUAGUACAGAAUCAUUAUUUCGUUCCCAACGAUUCUUGCAGUUGUCUCCAAAAUCUCAAUGUAAACAUUGGGUCUCGAUCUGAAACUAUGGAUGUUGGAAUCCCAUGAGGCGUACAACUUCAGAAACGUAGAGAUUAGCCAACUUUUCCAAUAAGUAAUUUGUGCGGACAAACAAGAUAUGGGCUAACUUAGUAAGUCGAUCUACAAUUACCUAGACUGAGUACUUCUUCGAAAGGAUGAGAGGGAGAGCCAAAACAAAAUCCAUGGUGAUCUUAUCCCACUUCCACAUAGAUAUCUCUAAAAGGUACAACUUGCCUAAGGGAACCUGAUGUUCUAUUUUAAUCUGCUGACAUGUCAAACAAAUGGAAAUGUACUUUGUUAUUUCUUUCUUCAUUUCAAGUCAGUAAUACAAACUUAUCAAAUUAUGAUACAUUUUAUGUAAAACUCUCAACCCAACUCGAAAUGUCGAGUCUGGAUCUCGGGUAUUACUAUACAUAAUACUUGGCAAAAUAUCAAAAUAGUUGACAAAUACUCUUUAUAGAAAACAUUUUCUUAUUAUUUUAACCAAAAGACUAAAUAUUUAAUAACAAGAGAAAAUAUUAAAAACAAAAAAAAAUUAUUACAUCAGACUUGGUACAACUCAUUAUAGUAUAAAAUUUUGUUAAAGACAUACUCUUGGGGCAUAACCCUAAUCUAAGCCACUUUUCCACUAUAUGCAUAAUAACCCACUUCGCCACUAUCUUGGCGUACUCCUAGCAUCGUCACUCCUAAUGCAUUCUCUACCCAUACACCUGAAAACAACAACAUUUUAAGCUUAAGAUAACUUAGUGACUUUUAUCCCAAAAAUACCUUGGCGAGUACUUUAUAUUAUUUGAAGAACAUUUGUGCGCCAUCUAUCCUUCUGAACCACCUUCUUCUGAAUUAAGUGGAUACUAUUAUAGAUUCAACUUUCACUUACACGCCAACUAUCAUACUCUUAACAAACUCACUUAUUCUAGAAUAGUUGUUCACAUAUAUUAAUCACUAAUUGAUACAUUCAUAUUUGGCGAAUACUUACGCAGAUCUGAAUACCAUCAAACUACUAAUCAAAUCAUACCUUGAUCCGAUACCAUACAAACUCAUACUGAUAAUGUACUACACAAAUUAUUCAAAUGAAUUUUCCACUACUUUGUUACAGGACCCCAGAUAAUCAUCAUAACAAUAACUCAAUUUUCAUAUGAUUUCAGAAGAAGAUAUAAUACAACCCAAAUACGGCAAAUUCCAGAUAACUCAGAUUCAACAACUGCUUAACACAUACGAACUCACAUUUAUAAUUUCUUAUGUCCCACAUAACUACGACUAUGUCUAUAUUCAACACUAACAAAUAAUCAUGACGGAUACCCUUCUUAUACAUAUAUGCAUUUCUUUUCUAGAAAUCUCUUAAGACUUACUCAAUUAUAUCACAUAUCUUAUUCAACCCUUAACUUUAGACAUAUCAUAACCCUAUCAUAUCAAUAUCUAUCACAAAAAAAAUCAGGAUUUAUCCAAAACUUACCAUAAAGGUAGAUAAUCAUAUUAUAUCAGACAAACUUAACUAAAUGUGCCACAAAGGCCAAACAAAAUAUGCCUUAAAGGCUUCAUACAAAAUCACGUGUUUACUAUCCCGACGGACUAUCACAAAAGGUGUCAUGGGUUUCUCCCACAUGGACUUAUACAUAAUUUCAUGUAUUGUGAUCUGCCAUUUUGAAUCAUACGUUAUCGAAGGAUACUCCAUAAGCAUACAUACAGACAUAUCUUGCCAUGUGUCUCAGCCACAUGGCUUAAACACACAUUCAUGUACUGUGAUAUGUCAAUCCAGUCUUACUCUUAUUAGAGCCUACACCAUGAGUGUUUUCAAAUCAUAUUAAGAUGUUGUAGGUCUCAACCUCAUAGUCUUACACUUGUUUUCAUAUCGUGACCUGCCAGUCUAGUUAGCAAUAUAAUUGCCUACCAGAGGCUUCAUAGAGGAACAUUUGCUUAGAUUCACUUACCUAGAUGAUCUGUAACACCCCUUACCCGAGACCGUUGUCAGAGUCGAGCACGAGGUAUUACUUAUCUUAUCUUACUAACUCGAAGCAUAAAAACUUGUUUUAAAAAUUAAUUUCACUAUUUAUAGCAAUUUGUCCAAUCGCGCAGCAGUUACUAAAUUAAUUAUAACUCGAGAUACGGAACUUGAAAUUUAACUCCGUAAAUUUUCCCUGAAACUAGACUCAUAUAUCUUCCUACCAUAAAAAUUUUAGGAUUUUUAGUUUAUCAAAUUAGUACAGUUUAUUAGUUAAAUUCUCCCCUGUUUCACAAAUCGACUGCCCUGACCUCUUAUCACUAAAAAUAAAAUGUAUCAUUGUGGGAUUUUCGUAUAGUGCUACCGCUUGCUUCUACAGAAAAUAGACUCAAUAAGGAAUCUAUACAUAUAAACUACAACUCAUAAAUAUUUUUUUAAAAUUUUUAAUGAUUUUAUAAACUCAAAACAGGGGUCACCAAAAACUGUUCUAACCCUGUCUCACCAAAAUUCACAUAUCUUAAAAUAUAAAUUCCUUUUGCUACACCGUUAUUUUUAUGUGAAAAUAGACUCAACAAGAUUUAUGUCAUUCAAUAUUUAAUUCAUUUUAUACUAUCCUAGGUGAUUUUUCAAAGUCACGUCACUGUUGCUGCCUGAAUUCUGUUUCUUUGCAAAAUUUUACCCUUUUAUGAUUUCCAUGCAUAGUUUAUCACUUAGACUCUUAUAACAACAAACACUUCCAUACUUAACCAUUUUAGCAACCAUUCAUCAUCAAAUACUUACACAUCAUUCUUUAGCAAGAUCAUAAAUACAAACAUUUAAAAUAACUAAAUCCCUUUACAUUCCAUACUCAACAUGGUUCAACAUAAAAAUACCGAGUUGCUGUGGUUGAUAGUGUGGACGAUCUCCGACUUCUUUAGGAUCCUUGAAGUAACCUUGCAAUACUAUAAGAGAAAGAGAAAUAAAAGACGUAAGCAUAAAGCUUAGUAAGUUUACUAGCAAAUAAAUAACAAUAUUUAACUAGAUAAUUAAACUCAAGUGUCUAUAUCUCUAGUUUACUAUUUAGUUAAUCUCAUUCUAGUUCUCUUGCUUGUUUACUUAGUAUACUUGUGUGCAUAACUUACUCCUCUCUUGCUGUAUAGUUGAAUAUCAAUUGAUAAUAUAAUAAGUUAUUAACUCUUAUAACUUACCUGAACUUGCCAUUUAUGUUUUUAACUGAACUUUCCUGAACAUGAUUCGUUAUUUAGCCCGUUGAGCUACAUUGGAACAAUAAGGAUACUCGGGUCUCUUCUGAUAAUAACAUGCCAAAGCCAUGUCCCAGACAUGGUCUUACAUGGGAUGUACUCAUGUCGGUGCCCAUUCCAUAUCCCAGACAUGGUCUUACGGGGGACCUCUCAUCUCGGUGCCAAUGCCAUGUCCCAGACAUGGUCUUACAUGGGACCUCUCAUCUCGGUGCCAACGCCAUGUCCCAGACAUGGUCUUACAUGGGACCUCUCAUCUCGGUGCCAACGCCAUGUCCCAGACAUGGUCUUACAUGGGACCUCUUUACCCAAAUGUCAUGACAUUCGUAUCCAGUACCAUCCUUACUAUUCAUGACAACCGAUAUAUAUAUAUACAUACUCACUAUUCACAAGGACUCGAACGAUUAUAUACUCAUCAACCACCUUAAAACAAUGUUCAUAAACUUAUCCAUUUCAUAUAAACAAAAGCAUAUAUAUUUAUAACCAAUGCAUAGAAUCACUUAAUUUAAACAGAUUCACUGGCACUUCACCUGAUAGGCUUAUAGUUUAAUUCAGUUCACCGGCACUUAGCCUACUAGGCUUGUAGCCUGAUUCAGUUCACCGGCACUUAGCCUGCUAGACGUAUAGUCCGAUUCAAUUCACCGGCAUUUAGCCUGCUAGACGUAUAGUCUGAUUCAAUUUACCGGCACUUAGCCUGCUAGACGUAUAGUCUGAAUAAUUUUACUGGUAAUAAAUCCGAUAGUAAUUUCUCCGUUGAAAUUGAAUUAUAUUCAAUUCUGCGUAACAAACAUGCACUUAAAACAUACUUGCAUAAUUCACAACAAUAAUUUCAGUCCAAAGAGCUGUAAUUCAUAUUCGAACUAUAUAUAUAUAAAUCCAUACAUAAAAAUUCAACUCAAAAUUUAUAACCUAUAUCUUUGAACCACAUAGGUACAUGAAAUUCAAACACCAAAAUCCAGCUCAAUAACUUCAUGAUUCAACCUAACAAAUUUAUGUAUAUAACUUUUUAUCUAAUUUCAAUACAAUAACUUAUACAUGUACGUAUAUACAUAUUCGAAUCUAACAUAUACAUAUAUAAUUUCAUACUUAAAUAUAUUCAAGACUUAUUCAUGAGUAUACAUAUAUAUUACAACUCACAUGUACAUAUAUAUACACAUUCAUACCUUUAACCAAGUCCAAGGCUUUAUACAUGUAUAUGCUUAUAUAUAUAUAUUCGGACCUUAUGUUUACAUAUAUAUAUUAUAUAAAUACCUUUGAUUAAAAACAAGUAUUUAUACAUAUAUAUAUUUUCGAACAUGAUACAUAUAUAUUUAUAUCAUUCAUACUUAAACAAAAUUCAAUCCAUAUACUUUCAAUUUCAGCUCACCAAAUUACUAUAGAUAUACAUGCAUAUAUACUGAUUUAAUAACCUCAAAUUGCUAAUAGACUUACCUCGGAUAUCAGCGGACACGAUCGAGUAUUCGAUUACUUUCGUUUUUCCCCGAUCCAAAUUCGUUUUCUUCGUUUUUUAUCUUAAUUAGACCUAGAGAUAGCCGAACCUUGUUGUUCUCUUUUCUUUUCUUUUCUUUUUCUUUUCUAUAUUCGGCCAAGAUGAAGAACAUGGCAUUUAAAAUUUGUUAUAUUAAACAUAUAUUAGCCUUAUUUUUAAUUUACUAUAUUAACCUUUACAUAUAUAUAACAUAUAUAAUAAGGUUACAUUAGUCCUUUGCCACCCACUAACUUACAUAGUGGACUAAUUGCAUAGUAAAACCUCUAAAUUAUAAAGACAACAAGAAUUAGGUCCUUUUAUAAUUAACCCCUAAAUUUUCAUUUUACGCGAUUAAGCCCUUUUAUUAAAUCGGACACUUAAACGACGAAAUUAAAACACGAAAAUUUCACACAAUCAAAUGCAUACAAAACAAUAUUAAUAAUAUUUUUCUAAUUCAAAUUUGUGGUCCCGAAACCAGUAUUCUGAUUAGGGUCAAAAACCGGGUUGUUACAACUCUCCCCCCUUAGGGAUUUUCGUCCCCGAAAAUCUUACCGGUGAAUAGGUUUGGAUAACGCUCUUUCAUUGUAUCUUCUAACUCCCAAGUUGCUUCUUCAACCCCAUGUUUAUGCCACAACACUUUAACUAACGGAAUUUUCUUAUUUCGUAAUUCUUUGAUCUCACGAGCCAGAAUGCUAAUCGGUUCUUCCUCAUAUGUCAUAUCAGAGUUAAUUUCAAUCUCCGUCGGACUAAUCACAUGUGAAGGAUCAGAUCGGUAUCUACGAAGCAUCGAAACAUGGAAUACGUUAUGAAUCUUUUCUAACUCAGGCAGUAACAUCAAUCUAUAAGCAACCAAUCCAACUCGCUCUAUAAUCUCAUACGGUCCAAUGAAUCUCGGACACAAUUUGCCUUUACGACCAAAUCUGAGUAUUUUCUUCCACGGUGAGACUUUUAAAAACACUUUAUCCCCGAUCUGAAAUUCUAUAUCCUUUCUUUUCAAAUUCGCAUAAGAUUUCUGACGAUCCGAUGCUGAUUUCAGACUGUCCCGAAUCACUUUCACUUUCUGUUCGGUCUCUUUAAUCAAAUCAACCCCGUGUAUCUUAUUUUCACUGAGCUCGGUCCAAUACAGUGGUGUACGACAUUUACAACCGUACAAAGCCUCAUAAGGUGCCAUUUUGAUACUAGAUUGAAAGCUAUUAUUAUAAGCAAAUUCAAUCAAAGGUAAGUAUCGUUCCCACGUACCUUCAAACUCGAGAAUGCAACAUCUCAACAUAUCCUCAAGUAUCUGAAUGAUUCAUUCAGAUUGACCAUCUGUCUGCGGAUCGAAAGCUGUGCUAAAAUGUAGUUUCGUACCUAAAGCAUCUUGUAGUUUCUUCCAAAAUCGCGAUGUGAAUCUCAGAUCUCUGUCUGAAACAAUAGAAAUAGGUACACCAUGCAACCUCACAAUUUGUGAAAUAUACAAUUCCGCAAGUUUAUCGAGCGAAAAAUCUGUACGAAUCGAAAUAAAAUGUGUCGAUUUUGUCAACCUAUCAACAAUAACCCAGAUUGCAUCUAUCUUGCUCGGUGUCAACGGUAAAUCGGAUACAAAAUCCAUCGUGACUCGAUCCCAUUUCCAUUGAGGUAUCAUGAUCGGCUGAAGCAACCCAGAUGGUACCUGAUGCUUGGCUUUAACUUGCUGACAAAUUAAACAUUUCGAAACAAAGUCAGAAAUGUCUCGUUUCAUACCUUGCCACCAAUAGUGCUGUUUCAGAUCGUUAUACAUUUUCGUGCUACCCGGAUGAACAGAAAAUCGACUACUAUGAGCUUCCUUCAAAAUCAUCUAAAUUAACUCUGAUUUUUUCGGAACACAUAAUCGGUUUCUAAAUCUCAAACAAUCCUCAGCAUCAACUAAAAACUCCGAAUCAAUAUUUAAGUCACAUUGAGCUCGUUUUGCAGUUAAAUCAUUAUCGACCUUUUGAGCUUCACAAAUCUGUUGUACAAAUAACGGUUUUGCUUUCAACUCAGCUACUAUCGCACCAUCAUCAGACAUAACCAUAUGUGCGUUCAUUGCACGCAAAGCAAACAGUGAUUUUCGACUUAGGGCAUCAGCAACAACAUUAGCCUUUCCCGGAUGAUAGUCAAUCACAAGCUCGUAUUCUUUCAGCAAUUCUAACCAUCGACGCUGUCUCAAAUUCAGAUAUUUCUGAGUCAUCAAAUAUUUCAGGCUUUUGGGAUCGGAAUAAACAUGACAUCUUUCACCAAACAGAUAGUGACGCCAUAUUUUUAACGCAAAUACAAUAGCGGCCAAUUCCAGAUCAUGUGUCGGAUAGUUUUUUUCAUGCGGCUUUAACUGUCUCAAGGCAUAGGCUACAACUUUGCCUUCCUACAUCAAAACACAACCCAAACCAUUUAAAGAUGCAUCACUAUAGAUAACAAACUCUUUACCCGAUUCGGGUUGAACUAAGACUGGAGCUUCGGUCAAAAGAACUUUCAACUGAUCAAAGUUUUUCUGACACUUUUCUGACCACUCGAACUUAACGUCUUUUUGUAGUAGCUUUGUCAUCGGGGUCGCAAUCAUAGAAAACCCUUUCACGAACCGUCUAUAAUAACCAGCGAGCCCCAGAAAGCUUCGAACAUCAGAGACAUUUCUCGGAGGUUUCCAAUCAAGUAUAGCUGAAAUUUUACCUGGAUCAACUCGAAUACCCGAUGCUGACACAACAUGGCCCAGAAAACUAACUUCACGUAACCAGAACUCGCAUUUACUGAACUUUGCAUACAACUGUUUAUCUCGCAAAGUUUGUAACACAAGUCUCAGAUGUUCAGUAUGCUCGGUUUCAUCACGAGAGUAGAUCAAAAUAUCAUCUAUAAAUACUACCACAAAUCGAUCCAGAUACUGUCUAAAAAUCUGAUUCAUCAAAUCCAUGAAAACAGCAGGUGCAUUAGUAAGUCCAAAAGGCAUAACCAAGAACUCAUAAUGUCCGUACCUCGUUCGGAAAGCUGUCUUUGGCACAUCAGAGUCUUUAACUCGCAACUGAUAGUAGCCUGAUCUCAGAUCUAUCUUCGAAAACACAGUAGCCCCUUUCAACUGAUCGAACAAAUCAUCAAUCCGUGGUAACGGAUACUUAUUCUUUAUAGUCACCUUAUUGAGUUGCCGGUAAUCAAUGCACAUUCUCAUUGUUCUGUCUUUCUUUUUCACAAAUAGAACUGGUGCACCCCAAGGAGAGAAACUCGGUCGUGUAAAACCUUUAUCAGUCAACUCUUGCAACUGUACUUUCAAUUCUUUUAAUUCGGUCGGUACCAUACGGUACGGAGCUAUCGAAAUUGGAGUUGUCCCUGGUACUAACUCAAUACCAAACUCUACCUCUCGAAUAGGUGGCAAACCCGGUAAUUCUUCGGGAAACACGUCUGAAUACUUACACACUACUGGCACAGAUUCAAUCUUCUUUUCGGUCACUUUACUAUCAAGAAAAAAUGCAAGGUAAUCUUCACAACCUUUUCUCACAUACUUCUGAGCCGACAUCGAGGAUAUUAUUGCUGGUAAACCAUUCAGAUCAUUAGAUUCAAUCCGAAUAAUCUCAUCAUUCUGACACCGUAGAUCAAUAGUUUUCCGUUUGCAGUUUACUAUAGCAUUAUGCAGAGUUAACCAAUCCAUACCCAGAAUUAUAUCAAACUCGUCAAAUGGUAGCAACAUCAAAUCAGCCAGAAAACAUAAAUCUCGAAUCAUCAACGGACAAUUCUUGCACACUUUGUCAACCAAAACACACCGGCCCAAGAGGUUCAAUACUUUAAUUACAAACUCAGUAGACUCAACAGGCAAAGUCUUACUGAAUACUAAAGUCUCACACACAUAAGAAUGAGUCGAACCAAGAUCAAUCAAUGCAAUAACAUUAGUAUCAUAAAGAGUGAAAGUACCAGUAAUAACAUCUGGAGAAGAAGCCUCCUCCCGAGCACGGAUGGCAUAUGCUCUGGCAAGUGCACGAGCCUCAGAUCGAACUGCCAUGUCCUUUGUUCCUCUCUGACUGCCACUUACAUUACUCAAUUGCCUCGGCGGUCUACCUCGUACAGGUACUUUACUCGGUCUGGUAUUCUACACAGUGUUUUGCUCAGCUACCAUCGGACACUCUCGAAUGAAAUGAUCCUUUGAACCGCACUUAAAGCAAGACCGAUCAUGUAAUCUGCAAUCUCCAGGAUGCCAUUUCCCACAAUGCUUGUACUCUGAUCUAUUUUGUCGAACACUACCAACGCUAGCAACUGAAGUAGCUCGUGAACUCACAGGGGGUCGAUCUCGAUCAUACUUAGGAAACCCUGCAGUAGCUUUAGAUCGGCUAUGAUCCUCUCUGGAUUUCAUUGAGGUCGACUGGAAUGAUUUACUGAAUGAUCUUUUACGAGAAUCUCGAGCUUCAUAGCCAGCUUUCCUCUUCUCUUUACUGAGCUCCUUAACUUUACAAGGUCGUUCAACAAGUACUACGAACUCUUUUAUCUCAAGUAUACCAAAUAACAGUUUAAUAUCUUCAUCCAGCCCAUCUUCAAAUCUUUUACACAUGAUAGCUUCAGUCGAAAUACAUUCUCGAGCAUAUCUACUGAGUCUCACAAAUUUCCGCUCAUAUUCUAUCACUGUCAUACGACCCUGUUUCAAUUCAAGAAAUUCCUUAUGCUUCUGAUCAAUGAAUCUUUGGCUGAUGUAUUUCUUACAGAACUCAAUCUGAAAGAAUUCCCAGGUCACUCGCUCUUUCGGAACCACCGAUACUAGUGUAUUCCACCAGUGAUAUGCAGUGUCCCGUAGCAAAGAUAUGGCACAUUUCAAGUACUCAUCAGGGGUGCAAGAUAACUCAUCAAACACUCGAAUAGUAUUAUCAAGCCAGAAUUCAGCUUGCUCAGCAUCAUCAUCAUCAGUAGCUCUGAACUCUUCGACCCCGUGUUUUCAAAUUUAGUCAACAGGAGGCUUAAGUAAUCUCAUCGGAUCACUUACUUGAGGUAUAAUAGGAAUCGAAGGUGGAUUAGUCGGGGGUGGAGUUUGUUGUGCAACCGGAUUAGUUCGGACAUAUUGAGUAAACCAGUCAUUCAUCAUUUGGUAGAAGGCUUGUUUAGCCUCUCCCUCCUGGUUACUCGAGGUCGGUCGAGAAUCUACCAGCUCUGUCCCUUGUGUGGGAGCAGGCGCUAUACUCUCAACAUCAUCGACUACGGCUGGAUCGGGAUCCAUUACUAUACGAAAACACAUUUUUAGACAUCAGCAGUCAUCGCACUAUCUUGGUAUAAAAAUAUGGCAUGUAUAGCUAGACUCAUACAUGCUACAUUAGUCCAAGAAUCGAUUAAACCGUAGCUCUGAUACCAAUAAAAUGUAACACCCCUAACCCGUAUCCGUCGCCGAAUUAGGGUUACGAGGCAUUACUGAACAAAUACAACCAUUUUUAAAACCAACUGAUCACAAACAUGAAAAUUAAAUCAUUUUCACAUAGCUAUUUAUAAUUUACAAUCAACAUCUAACCAACAUCGUACUCAAACCUAUACAUGCCAUAAGAUCAAGUUCAAAUAUUUAACAAAAUACCAAAAGGGGUCGAAAGUGUGAUAGACUAUGCUGAUGAUCCCCGAGCUCGUAACGCAUCUCCAAAAUCUAUAAAAACAAAUGGACAAAAACAAUCAAAGUAAGCUUUUAUAGCUUAGUAAGUCUAUAGCAUAUCUAAAAUACAUAUAAAAGAAUCAUAUAAUUCUUAAAAUAAAUUUAUUGAAAUCACAAUUAUCAAUUAUAAUUACUAAUCGAACAUUGCUAUAUUAAGUCAUCUUGUUUAAAUCUAAAAGGAUGUGUAUUUAUCUAAUACACAUGAACGGACAAAUGUAUAUACAUUAUAUGCAUAUAAUCAAUUUACUAACAUAAUCAUUAAUUGCAUAUACGGAUUUCUAUAGUACUUAUUGUUCGCACUUAAUCGGAUCCAUUUAAAUAUAAUUGUUCAAAUACAUAUACCAAAAGCAUAAUAAUUUUAUACUUGAUCAACUAUAAGUGCCGAAUGCACAUAUACACCUAUACCCACCUAUGCCGAAUGCAUACAUAUAUACACAUAUAUAUAUAUCCAACAAUUUCGUGACAACCGAUAUAUAUAUACAUACUCACUAUUCACAAGGACUCGAACGAUUAUAUACUCAUCAACCACCUUAAAACAAUGUUCAUAAACUUAUCCAUUUCAUAUAAACAAAAGCAUAUAUAUUUAUACCCAAUGCAUAGAAUCACUUAAUUUAAACAGAUUCACUAGCACUUCACCUGAUAGGCUUAUAGUUUAAUUCAGUUCACCGGUACUUAGCCUACUAGGCUUGUAGCCUGAUUCAGUUCACCGGCACUUAGCCUGCUAGACGUAUAGUCCGAUUCAAUUCACCGGCAUUUAGCCUGCUAGACGUAUAGUCCGAUUCAAUUUAUCGGCACUUAGCCUGCUAGAUGUAUAGUCUGAAUAAUUUUACUGGUAAUAAAUCCGAUAGUCAUUUCUCCGUUGAAAUUGAAUUAUAUUCAAUUCUGCGUAACAAACAUGCACUUAAAACAUACUUGCAUAAUUCACAACAAUAAUUUCAGUCCAAAGAGCUGUAAUUCAUAUUCGAACUAUAUAUAUAAAUCCAUACAUAAAAAUUCAGCUCAAAAUUUAUAACCUAUAUCUUUGAACCACAUAGGUACAUGAAAUUCAAACAACAAAAUCCAGCUCAAUAACUUCAUGAUUCAACCUAACAAAUUUAUGUAUAUAACUUUUUAUCUAAUUUCAAUACAAUAACUUAUACAUGUACGUAUAUACAUAUUCGAAUCUAACAUAUACAUAUAUAAUUUCAUACUUAAAUAUAUUCAAGACUUAUUCAUGAGUAUACAUAUAUAUUACAACUCACAUGUACAUAUAUAUACACAUUCAUACCUUUAACCAAGUCCAAGGCUUUAUACAUGUAUAUGCUUAUAUAUAUAUAUAUUCGGACCUUAUGUUUACAUAUAUAUUAUAUAUAAAUACCUUUGAUUAAAAACAAGUAUUUAUACAUAUAUAUAUUUUUGAACAUGAUACAUAUAUAUAUUUAUAUCAUUCAUACUUAAACAAAAUUCAAUCCAUAUACUUUCAAUUUCAGCUCACCAAAUUACUAUAGAUAUACAUGCAUAUAUACUGAUUUAAUAACCUCAAAUUGCUAAUAGACUUACCUCGGAUAUCAGCGGACACGAUCGACUAUUCGAUUACUUUCGUUUUUCCCCGAUCCAAAUUCGUUUUCUUCGUUUUUUUAUCUUAAUUAGACCUAGAGAUAGCCGAACCUUGUUGUUCUCUUUUCUUUUCUUUUCUUUUUCUUUUCUAUAUUCGGCCAAGAUGAAGAACAUGGCAUUUAAAAUUUGUUAUAUUAAACAUAUAUUAGCCUUAUUUUUAAUUUACUAUAUUAACCUUUACAUAUAUAUAUAACAUAUAUAAUAAGGUUACAUUAGUCCUUUGCCACCCACUAACUUACAUAGUGGACUAAUUGCAUAGUAAAACCUCUAAAUUAUAAAGACAACAACAAUUAGGUGCUUUUAUAAUUAACCCCUAAAUUUUCAUUUUACGCGAUUAAGCCCUUUUAUUAAAUCGGACACUUAAACGACGAAAUUAAAACACGAAAAUUUCACACAAUCAAAUGCAUACAAAAUAAUAUUAAUAAUAUUUUUCUAAUUCAAAUUUGUGGUCCCGAAACCAGUAUUCUGAUUAGGGUCAAAAACCGGGUUGUUACAACUCUCCCCCCUUAGAGAUUUUCGUCCCCGAAAAUCUUACCGGUGAAUAGGUUUGGAUAACGCUCUUUCAUUGUAUCUUCUGACUCCCAAGUUGCUUCUUCAACCCCAUGUUUAUGCCACAACACUUUAACUAACGGAAUUUUCUUAUUUCGUAAUUCUUUGAUCUCACGAGCAAGAAUGCUAAUCGGUUCUUCCUCAUAUGUCAUAUCAGAGUUAAUUUCAAUCUCCGUCGGACUAAUCACAUGUGAAGGAUCAGAUCGGUAUCUACGGAGCAUCGAAACAUGGAAUACGUUAUGAAUCUUUUCUAACUCAGGCAGUAACAUCAAUCUAUAAGCAACCAAUCCAACUCGCUCUAUAAUCUCAUACGGUCCAAUUAAUCUCGGACACAAUUUGCCUUUACGACCAAAUCUGAGUAUUUUCUUCCACGGUGAGACUUUUAACUUGCUCGGUGUCAACGGUAAAUCGGAUACAAAAUCCAUCGUGACUCGAUCCCAUUUCCAUUGAGGUAUCAUGAUCGGCUGAAGCAAUCCAGAUGGUACCUGAUGCUCGGCUUUAACUUGCUGACAAAUUAAACAUUUCGAAACAAAGUCAGAAAUGUCUCGUUUCAUACCUUGCCACCAAUAGUGCUGUUUUAGAUCGUUAUACAUUUUCGUGCUACCCGGAUGAACAGAAAAUCGAAUACUAUGAGCUUCCUUCAAAAUCAUCUGAAUUAACUCUGAAUUUUUCGGAACACAUAAUCGGUUUCUAAAUCUCAAACAAUCCUCAGCAUCAACUAAAAACUCCGAAUCAAUAUUUAAGUCACAUUGAGCUCGUUUUGCAGUUAAAUCAUUAUCAACCUUUUGAGCUUCACAAAUCUGUUGUACAAAUAACAGUUUUGCUUUCAACUCAGCUACUAUCGCACCAUCAUCAGACAUAACCAUAUGUGCGUUCAUUGCACGCAAAGCAAACAGUGAUUUUCGACUUAGGGCAUCAGCAACAACAUUAGCCUUUCCCGGAUGAUAGUCAAUCACAAGCUCGUAAUCUUUCAGCAAUUCUAACCAUCGACGCUGUCUCAAAUUCAGAUAUUUCUGAGUCAUCAAAUAUUUCAGGCUUUUGGGAUCGGAAUAAACAUGACAUCUUUCGCCAAACAGAUAGUGACGCCAUAUUUUUAACGCAAAUACAAUAGCGGCCAAUUCCAGAUCAUGCGUCGGAUAGUUUUUUUCAUGCGGCUUUAACUGUCUCAAGGCAUAGGCUACAACUUUGCCUUCCUACAUCAAAACACAACCCAAACCAUUUAAAGAUGCAUCACUAUAGAUAACAAACUCUUUACCCGAUUCGGGUUGAACUAGGACUGGAGCUUCGGUCAAAAGAACUUUCAACUGAUCAAAGUUUUUCUGACACUUUUCUGACCACUCGAACUUAACGUCUUUUUGUAGUAGCUUUGUCAUCGGGGUCGCAAUCAUAGAAAACCCUUUCACGAACCGUCUAUAAUAACCAGCGAGCCCCAGAAAGCUUCGAACAUCAGAGACAUUUCUCGGAGGUUUCCAAUCAAGUAUAGCUGAAAUUUUACUUGGAUCAACCUGAAUACCCGAUGCUGACACAACAUGGCCCAGAAAACUAACUUCACGUAACCAGAACUCGAAUUUACUGAACUUUGCAUACAACUGUUUAUCUCGCAAAGUUUGUAACACAAGUCUCAGAUGUUCAGUAUGCUCGGUUUCAUCACGAGAGUAGAUCAAAAUAUCAUCUAUAAAUACUACCACAAACAGAUCCAGAUACUGUCUAAAAAUCUGAUUCAUCAAAUCCAUGAAAACAGCAGGUGCAUUAGUAAGUCCAAAAGGCAUAACCAAGAACUCAUAAUGUCCGUACCUCGUUCGGAAAGCAGUCUUUGGCACAUCAGAGUCUUUAACUCGCAACUGAUAGUAGCCUGAUCUCAGAUCUAUCUUCGAAAACACAGUAGCCCCUUUCAACUGAUCGAACAAAUCAUCAAUCCGUGGUAACGGAUACUUAUUCUUUAUAGUCACCUUAUUGAGUUGCCGGUAAUCAAUGCACAUUCUCAUUGUUCCGUCUUUCUUUUUCACAAAUAGAACUGGUGCACCCCAAGGAGAGAAACUCGGUCGUGCAAAACCUUUAUCAGUCAACUCUUGCAACUGUACUUUCAAUUCUUUUAAUUCAGUCGGUGCCAUACGGUACGGAGCUAUCGAAAUUGGAGUUGUCCCUGGUACUAACUCAAUACCAAACUCUACCUCUCGAAUAGGUGGCAAACCCGGUAAUUCUUCGGGAAACACGUCUGAAUACUUACACACUACUGGCACAGAUUCAAUCUUCUUUUCGAUCACUUUACUAUCAAGAAAAAAUGCAAGGUAAUCUUCACAACCUUUUCUCACAUACUUUUUUGCCGACAUCGAGGAUAUUAUUGCUGGUAAACCAUUCAGAUCAUUAGAUUCAAUCCGAAUAAUCUCAUCAUUCUGACACCGUAGAUCAAUAGUUUUCCGUUUGCAGUUUACUAUAGCAUCAUGCAGAGUUAACCAAUCCAUACCCAGAAUUAUAUCAAACUCGUCAAAUGGUAGCAACAUCAAAUCAGCCAGAAAACAUAAAUCUCGAAUCAUCAACGGACAAUUCUUGCAUAUUUUGUCAACCAAAACACACCGGCCCAGGGGGUUCAAUACUUUAAUUACAAACUCAGUAGACUCAACAGGCAAAGUCUUACUGAAUACUAAAGUCUCACACACAUAAGAAUGAGUCGAACCAAGAUCAAUCAAUGCAAUAACAUUAGUAUCAUAAAGAGGGAAAGUACCAGUAAUAACAUCUGGAGAAGAAGCCUCCUCUUGAGCACGGAUGGCAUAUGCUCUGGCAAGUGCACGAGCCUCAGAUCGAACUGCCAUGUCCUUUGUUCCUCUCUGACUGCCACUUACAUUACUCAAUUGCCUCGGUGGUCUACCUCGUACUGGCACUUUACUCGGUCUGGUAUUCUGCACAGUGUUUUGCUCAGCUACCAUCGGACACUCUCGAAUGAAAUGAUCCUUUGAACCGCACUUAAAGCAAGACCGAUCAUGUAAUCUGCAAUCUCCAGGAUGCCAUUUCCCACAAUACUUGUACUCUGAUCUAUUUUGUCGAACACUACCAACGCUAGCAACUGAAGUAGCUCGUGAACUCACAGGGGGUCGAUCUCGAUCAUACUUAGGAAACCCUGCAGUAGCUUUAGAUCGGCUAUGAUCCUCUCUGGAUUUCAUUGAGGUCGACUGGAAUGAUUUACUGAAUAAUCUUUUACGAGAAUCUCGAGCUUCAUAGCCAGCUUUCCUCUUCUCUUUCCCGAGCUCCUCAACUUUACAAGGUCGUUCAACAAGUACUACGAACUCUUUUAUCUCAAGUAUACCAAAUAACAGUUUAAUAUCUUCAUCCAGCCCAUCUUCAAAUCUUUUACACAUGAUAGCUUCAGUCGAAAUACAUUCUCGAGCAUAUCUACUGAGUCUCACAAAUUUCCGCUCAUAUUCUAUCACUGUCAUACGACCCUGUUUCAAUUUAAGAAAUUACUUACGCUUCUGAUCAAUGAAUCUUUGGCUGAUGUAUUUCUUACAGAACUCAAUCUGAAAGAAUUCCCAGGUCACUCGCUCUUUCGGAACCACCGAUACUAGUGUAUUCCACCAGUGAUAUGCAGUGUCCCGUGGCAAAGAUAUGGCACAUUUCAAGUACUCAUCAGGGGUGCAAGAUAACUCAUCAAACACUCGAAUAGUAUUAUCAAGCCAGAAUUCAUCUCGCUCAGCAUCAUCAUCAUCAGUAGCUCUGAACUCUUCGACCCCGUGUUUUUGAAUUUUGUCAAUAGGAGGCUUAAGUAAUCUCAUCGGAUCACUUACUUGAGGUAUAACAGGAAUCGAAGGUGGAUUAGUCGGGGGUGGAGUUUGUUGUGCAACCGGAUUAGUUCGGACAUAUUGAGUAAACCAGUCAUUCAUCAUUUGGUAGAAGGCUUGUUUAGCCUCUCCCUCCUGGUUACUCGAGGUCGGUCGAGAAUCUACCGGCUCUGUCCCUUGUGUGGGAGCAGGCGCUAUACCCUCAACAUCAUCGACUACGGCUCGAUCGGGAUCCAUUACUAUACGAAAACACAUUUUUAGACAUCAGCAGUCAUCACACUAUCUUGGUAUAAAAAUAUGGCAUGUAUAGCUAGACUCAUACAUGCUACAUUAGUCCAAGAAUCGAUUAAACCGUAGCUCUGAUACCAAUAAAAUGUAACACCCCUAACCCGUAUCCGUCGCCGAAUUAGGGUUACGAGGCAUUACUGAACAAAUACAACCAUUUUUAAAACCAACUGAUCACAAACAUGAAAAUUAAAUCAUUUUCACAUAGCUAUUUAUAAUUUACAAUCAACAUCUAACCAACAUCGUACUCAAACCUAUACAUGCCAUAAGAUCAAGUUCAAAUAUUUAACAAAAUACCAAAAGGGGUCAAAAGUGUGAUAGACUAUGCUGAUGAUCCCCGAGCUCGUAACGCGUCUCCAAAAUCUAUAAAAACAAAUGGACAAAAACAAUCAAAGUAAGCUUUUAUAGCUUAGUAAGUCUAUAGCAUAUCUAAAAUACAUAUAAAAGAAUCAUAUAAUUCUUAAAAUAAAUUUAUUGAAAUCACAAUUAUCAAUUAUAAUUACUAAUCGAACAUUGCUAUAUUAAGUCAUCUUGUUUAAAUCUAAAAGGAUGUGUAUUUAUCUAAUACACAUGAACGGACAAAUGUAUAUACAUUAUAUGCAUAUAAUCAAUUUACUAACAUAAUCAUUAAUUGCAUAUACGGAUUUCUAUAGUACUUAUUGUUCGCACUUCAUCGGAUCCAUUUAAAUAUAAUUGUUCAAAUACAUAUACCAAAAGCAUAAUAAUUUUAUACUUGAUCAACUAUAAGUGCCGAAUGCACAUAUACACCUAUACCCACCUAUGCCGAAUGCAUACAUAUAUACACAUAUAUAUAUAUCCAACAAUUUCAUGACAACCGAUAUAUAUAUACAUACUCACUAUUCACAAGGACUCGAACGAUUAUAUACUCAUCAACCACCUUAAAACAAUGUUCAUAAACUUAUCCAUUUCAUAUAAACAAAAGCAUAUAUAUUUAUACCCAAUGCAUAGAAUCACUUAAUUUAAACAGAUUCACUGGCACUUCACCUGAUAGGCUUAUAGUUUAAUUCAGUUCACCGGCACUUAGCCUACUAGGCUUGUAGCCUGAUUCAGUUCACCGGCACUUAGCCUGCUAGACGUAUAGUCCGAUUCAAUUCACCGGCAUUUAGCCUGCUAGACGUAUAGUCCGAUUCAAUUUACCGGCACUUAGCCUGCUAGAUGUAUAGUCUGAAUAAUUUUACUGGUAAUAAAUCCGAUAGUCAUUUCUCCGUUGAAAUUGAAUUAUAUUCAAUUCUGCGUAACAAACAUGCACUUAAAACAUACUUGCAUAAUUCACAACAAUAAUUUCAGUCCAAAGAGCUGUAAUUCAUAUUCGAACUAUAUAUAUAUAAAUCCAUACAUAAAAAUUCAGCUCAAAAUUUAUAACCUAUAUCUUUGAACCACAUAGGUACAUGAAAUUCAAACAACAAAAUCCAGCUCAAUAACUUCAUGAUUCAACCUAACAAAUUUAUGUAUAUAACUUUUUAUCUAAUUUCAAUACAAUAACUUAUACAUGUACGUAUAUACAUAUUUGAAUCUAACAUAUACAUAUAUAAUUUCAUACUUAAAUAUAUUCAAGACUUAUUCAUGAGUAUACAUAUAUAUUACAACUCACAUGUACAUAUAUAUACACAUUCAUACCUUUAACCAAGUCCAAGGCUUUAUACAUGUAUAUGCUUAUAUAUAUAUAUAUUCGGACCUUAUGUUUACAUAUAUAUUAUAUAUAAAUACCUUUGAUUAAAAACAAGUAUUUAUACAUAUAUAUAUUUUCGAACAUGAUACAUACAUAUAUUUAUAUCAUUCAUACUUAAACAAAAUUCAAUCCAUAUACUUUCAAUUUCAGCUCACCAAAUUACUAUAGAUAUACAUGCAUAUAUACUGAUUUAAUAACCUCAAAUUGCUAAUAGACUUACCUCGGAUAUCAGCGGACACGAUCGACUAUUCGAUUACUUUCGUUUUUCCCCGAUCCAAAUUCGUUUUCUUCGUUUUUUUAUCUUAAUUAGACCUAGAGAUAGCCGAACCUUGUUGUUCUCUUUUCUUUUCUUUUCUUUUUCUUUUCUAUAUUCGGCCAAGAUGAAGAACAUGGCAUUUAAAAUUUGUUAUAUUAAACAUAUAUUAGCCUUAUUUUUAAUUUACUAUAUUAACCUUUACAUAUAUAUAACAUAUAUAAUAAGGUUACAUUAGUCCUUUGCCACCCACUAACUUACAUAGUGGACUAAUUGCAUAGUAAAACCUCUAAAUUAUAAAGACAACAACAAUUAGGUGCUUUUAUAAUUAACCCCUAAAUUUUCAUUUUACGCGAUUAAGCCCUUUUAUUAAAUCGGACACUUAAACAACGAAAUUAAAACACGAAAAUUUCACACAAUCAAAUGCAUACAAAAUAAUAUUAAUAAUAUUUUUCUAAUUCAAAUUUGUGGUCCCGAAACCAGUAUUCUGAUUAGGGUCAAAAACUGGGUUGUUACAACUCUCCCCCCUUAGGGAUUUUCGUCCCCGAAAAUCUUACCGGUGAAUAGGUUUGGAUAACGCUCUUUCAUUGUAUCUUCUGACUCCCAAGUUGCUUCUUCAACCCCAUGUUUAUGCCACAACACUUUAACUAACGGAAUUUUCUUAUUUCGUAAUUCUUUGAUCUCACGAGCCAGAAUGCUAAUCGGUUCUUCCUCAUAUGUCAUAUCAGAGUUAAUUUCAAUCUCCGUCGGACUAAUCACAUGUGAAGGAUCAGAUCGGUAUCCACAGAGCAUUGAAACAUGGAAUACGUUAUGAAUCUUUUCUAACUCAGGCAGUAACAUCAAUCUAUAACCAACCGAUCCAACUCGCUCUAUAAUCUCAUACGGUCCAAUGAAUCUCGGACUCAAUUUGCCUUUACGACCAAAUCUGAGUAUUUUCUUCCACGGUGAGACUUUUAAAAACACUUUAUCCCCGAUCUGAAAUUCUAUAUCCUUUCUUUUCAAAUCCGCAUAAGAUUUCUGACGAUCCGGUGCUGAUUUCAGACUGUCCCGAAUCACUUUCACUUUCUGUUCGGUCUCUUUAAUCAAAUCAACCCCGUGUAUCUUAUUUUCACUGAGCUCAGUCCAAUACAGUGGUGUACGACAUUUACGACCGUACAAAGCCUCAUAAGGUGCCAUUUUGAUACUAGAUUGAAAGCUAUUAUUAUAAGCAAAUUCAAUCAAAGGUAAGUAUCGUUCCCACGUACCUUCAAACUCGAGAAUGCAACAUCUCAACAUAUCCUCAAGUAUCUGAAUGAUUCGUUCAGAUUGACCAUCUGUCUGCGGAUGGAAAGCUGUGCUAAAAUGUAGUUUCGUACCUAAAGCUGUGCUAAAAUGCACACAAAAUAAACACACAAAAUAAUAUUAAUAAUAUUUUUCUAAUUCGGAUUUGUGGUCCCGAAACCACUAUUCCGAUUAGGGUCAAAAACCGGGUUGUUACAAUUCUGCUUCUUCUGCAUCAUCAUCUUUGGUAGCUCGAAAUUCUUCAGCCCCUUACUUCCUAAUCUUAUCAACAGGUGGUCUCUCACUGAUGACUAUACCUGCAGCUAGGGAAACUACAUGAGGAACCUGUGAAUCCUGAAGGGGUGGAGGUCUUACACCCGGAUUCAUACGAACGAACUCGGCAAACCAAUCAUUCAUGGCUUGGAAGAAGGCUUCUCUAGCUCCUCCUCCCUGUCUAACUGAUGCAGGUCUUUCACUAACGUUAACAUCUAGUGGCACCGUCCUUUCUGCGGAAGUAGGCGCAUUACUCUCUACUUCAUCUGCACCAGCUCGUUCAGGAUCCGUAACUAUAAAAUAAAAUAUUUUAAAAUCGUCAAGAGUCGUCACACUAUCAAAAUAUAUAAGUAUGGCAUGUAUAGGUAGACUUUUAUUCAUACUGCAUAUUUCUGAGAACCGAUUAAACCUGCUCUGAUACCAACAAAUGUAACACCCCUUACCCAAGACCAUUUUCGGAGUCGAGCACGAGGCAUUACUUAUCUUAUCUUACUAACUCGAAGCAUAAAAACUUAUUUUAAAAAUUAAUUUCACUAUUUACAGCAAUCUGUCCAAUCGAGCAGCAGUUACUAAAUUAAUAAUAACUCGAGCUACGGAACUUGAAAUUUAACUUCGUAAAUUUUCACUGAAACUAGACUCAUAUAUCUUCCUACCAUAAAGUUUUUAGGAUUUUUUGUUUAGCCAACUAGUACAGUUUAUUAGUCAAAUUCUCCCCUGUUUCACCAAUCGAUUGCCUUGACCUCUUAUCACUAAAAAUAAAAUUUCUCAAUGUGGGAUUUUCGUAUAGUGCUACUGCUUGCUUCUACAAAAAAUAGACUCAAUAAGGAAUCUAUAAAUAUAAACUACAGCUCCUAAAUAUUUUUUUAAAAAUUUUAAUGAUUUUCUAAACUCAAAAUAGGGGUCACCAAAAACUGUUCUAACCCUGUCUCACCAAAAUUCACAUAUCUUAAAAUAUAAAAUUCAUUUUGCUACACCGUUAUUUUUAUCUGAAAAUAGACUCAACAAGAUUUAAAUUCAUAUAUCAUUCACUCUUUAAUUCAUUUUAUACUAUCCUAGGUGAUAUUUCAAAGUCACGUCGUUGUUGCUGCCUGAAUUCUGUUUCUUUGCAAAAUUGUACCAUUUUAUGAUUUCCAUGCAUAGUUUAUCACUUACACUCUUAUAACAACAAACACUUCCAUACUUCACCAUUUUAGCAACCAUUCAUCAUCAACUACUUACAUAUCAUUCUUUAUCAAGAUCAUAAAUACAAACAUUUAAAAUAACUAAAUCCCUAUACAUUCCAUACUCAACAUGGUUCAACAUAAAAAUACCGAGUUGCUGUGGCUGAUAGUGUGGACGAUCUCCGACUUCUUUAGGAUCCUUGAAGUAACCUUGCAAUACUAUAAGAGAAAGAGAAAUAAAAGACGUAAGCAUAAAGCUUAGUAAGUUUACUAGCAAAUAAAUAACAAUAUUUAACUCAGAUAAUUAAACUCAAGUGUCUAUAUCUCUAGUUUACUCUUUAGUUAAUCCCAUUCUAGUUCUCUUGCUUGUUUACUUAGUAUACUUGUGUGCAUAACUUAAUCUUCUCUUGCUGUAUCGUUGAAUAUCAAUUGAUAAUAUAAUAAGUUCUUAACUCUUAUAACUUACCUGAACUUGCCAUUUAUGUUUUUAACUGAACUUUCCUGAACAUGAUUCGUUAUUUAGCCCGUUGAGCUACAUUGGAACAAUAAGGAUACUCGGGUCUCUUCUGAUAAUAACAUGCCAAAGCCAUGUCCCAGACAUGGUCUUACAUGGGAUGUACUCAUGUCGGUGCCCAUUCCAUGUCCCAGACAUGGUCUUACGGGGGACCUCUCAUCUCGGUGCCAAUGUCAUGUCUCAGACAUGGUCUUACAUGGGACCUCUCAUCUCGGUGCCAACACCAUGUCCCAGACAUUGUCUUACAUGGGACCUCUCAUUUCGGUGCCAACGCCAUGUCCCAGACAUGGUCUUACAUGGGACCUCUUUAUCCAAAUGUCAUGACAUUCGUAUCCAGUAUUAUCCUUAUGUAUCAACGGGACUUUUUAAUUUUAAUUCUCUAUCAUUUCAUGCUUGGAUAAUCAUCAAAUAAAUUCAUGAAAUAAAUUCAUAGUUGCUGGAAAAUAGCAGCAUUAAUAAAAAUUAUUGAAAUAUUUCAUUUAUUUACCGUAAACUUACCUUGGUACCGAAUAUAGCCCAAUUCACCAACUUAGUCUUCAACUUUAUUCUUUCCUUUGUCUAACCUCGAGUUUCAUUCUUCUUGAUCUAAAAUAGAAAAUUUAACUUAUUUAAUACUCACAUUCAUCAAAACAGCCCUCGACUCUAACUUUUCAAAAUUAUGAUUUUGCCCCUAAACUUUUACAUAAUUACAUUUUUCCCCAAGGCUCGAAAAUUCAACUUCAUCUCAUAUUCUUAUGUUUUAUGGCAUGCUGAAUAUUUUUCUCUUCUAUGACAAUAUCAAAUUCUCACUCUAACACUUACUUAUGUACAUUAGAGAUUUUUACCGAUUAUGUCAACUUACUCGUUUUUGCUUAAAAUCGGCUAACAAAAGUUGUUUAACAUAAUUUAUAGCUUCAUAUUCUAUCAUAAAACAUCAAAAUAAACACUUUUCACCUAUGGGUAUUUUUCCAAAUAUAAACCCUAGGUUAAAUUAUUGCUAGAAUAAGCUAAAUUAAGUUACCGGGACUCCAAAAACGUAAGGAACAUUAAAAACGGGGCUUGGGAUCACUUACUAUGGAGCUUGGAAGCUUGAAAACCCUAAAUAUGGCUUACCCCCUUGCUGAUUUCGUCCAAAUGAAGAAGAUGAGCAUAAUUUGUCAUCUUUUUCCCUUUUAAUUCAUUUUAAUUACUAGAUUACCAAAUUGCCCCUAACUUAAAAAUUUCCUAUUUCACUUAUCUCAUGUCCAUUUUUGUCUAAAAACUUAACCAAUGGUCUAAUUACCAUAUAAAGACCUCCAAUUUAAAGUUUCAUAACAAUUGGACACCUCUAACAUGUAGAACUCAACUUUUGCACUUUUUGCAAUUUAGUACUUUUGACUAAAUUGAGUGCCCAAACUUCAAAAUUUUCGAAUAAAAUUUUCAUGAAAUCAUUUUGUGAAAUCAUAGACCAUAAAAAUAUAAGAAAAAUAAAAUUUUCCUCAUCGGAUUUGUGAUCCCGAAACCACUGUUCCGAUAAUCUUAAAUUUGGGCCAUUACAUGAUCACCUUUUUACUAGCUCAUACAUCUCCUACAUCAGACCUUACAUGCAUGCUUACCAAACUUUAUUCUUUUUAACAAAACUUUAUACAUAUCAUCGUAGCACAUCUUUCAUCUUUACUAAACUCAUAUUUUUACCAAUUUCUGUAGACAUCAUCAUCAUCAUCCUAUAUAUAUGCUUCUUGUUUGAACAGUUCAUAUCAAAGAGUCAAGAUAGAGACCCACUUGACACUCACCUACUGCAGUUCAAAGCUCUAAACUUAACCAUCCUUCUCAAACCAGCAGUAAAAACUGCUUAUAGAACAUAGAAUCACCAUUAAAAACCCAUUUACAUACAAAUUACUAUCAUCUUAAUCACUUUUCCACUGUUAAUUUAUAAAUAAGUGUUAAGUAGUAAAUAAAUAAAAAAAUUAACUAAGUUUUCAAAAAAAAAGUCACUGUGACGAGAAGAAUGUUAAAAUUAAUUGGUGUUUGUUAACUCAUAUGUUUUUCUAAAAAUGGGUUAAGUUUUCUUCUGAAAUAAACAAAUGUUUUAAAAUGAUUGUUUUAUAAACUCCGAUCGUACUAUCCCAUCUUGGUGGCUGAUGUAAUAUCCCAAAUUCAGGUCUAACAUCUAAGUCGGGUUGGAUAGGUUACAAUAUAUAUAGAAAGAUUGAUAAAUAAUGCAAACUUGAAUACAAGCAAAGAAAGAAAUCAAUCAAUGUGAAUGACUAACAAGUUUAAAAUCAUAUAUUUGCAUUAUAUUUUGUAAAGCACAAGAUUGUCAUGGAAUUAGACAAUUUGUUUUGAUAAUGGUUAUAUUUUAUAUAGAUUUACUUUUAUGCACUUUCAUAUUGAGUUGAUCAAAAGUUUUGAAACUUUAUAGAAAAUUUGAAUGAAAGAGCAUAUUGAUAUAUAUGCUAUCUUGAGUGUUGAAUUAAGCAUUCUUUAGUAAAAGAGUGUACAUUUCGCACAUGGUAGGUGUGUUGGUUUCUUAUAUAUUAAUUAAGCACAAAUUAAAGAAAAAUAAUAUAUAUCACCAUAGUGUUGUAAUAUUUUGUAUAAUUUGUGAAAUUAUACAAGCAAAUAAGUUUACCUAUCUUGUUAAAUAAAACUCAUUAAGUUGGUUCUUAAUCUUGAAGAAUUAAAUAGGUUGGCUUCUUUAUUCAUUUUAUCCAACUACAAGUUAGAUUAAAGUUGUGGAAAUAGAAUGGUUGAAAAUUUGUGUUAAUGAGAAUUAGAGUUAUGGCCACAACUGAUGCCAACUAUUUCCUAAAAACAGGGAAUGAUGUCCAAAAACAUGCUGUAAAAUAAAAAUUUGGACAUGUUAGAAUAUGAAUUUAUUAUAUUAUAGUUUCAAUGUAAUACCCUUAUCCCAUCUCUGUUGCCGGAUUAGGAUUUCAGAGUAUUACUGAGAAAAAUAGAACAUUUAACUUUCCAACAGAAACAAUUGUACAAUUAAAUACCAACAUAUAACAAUUGAAUCUAAUCAUGGCAAAUAUUACACUUUUGGACCUUGAAUCGAGCCUAUGGGGCCCUAGAAACAGUUUAGGAACAAUCUGGGAUCAAAUCAAAACAAAUCAGAACAUUUUGAAAAAACAUAAAAAUUUAGGAAUACAGAGGUCACAGGCCAUAUGGCCAAGUCGUGUGACAUAGCCUAGAUUGUGUAAACAUCCGAAGUCAGGACACAUAGCUGUGUCCCAGCCUGUGUGUCUACUCAUGUGUAUAUUUGAAAUAGGGUCACACAGUCGUGUUGCAGACUGCCAAACGUGUGUGUAUUCAAAGUGAGGUCGCAAGACCAUGUGGCCGACCGUGCCACAAACUGUUUUGAGACACAAGGUCAUGUCUCAGACCGUGUAAAACAUGCACUUAAAAUAAUAAAUACACACGACCGUAUCUAGUGACUAUGUGUGGCACAUGGUCGUGUGGUAGCUUGUGUCUCAGGUCGUGUGCUCCAUUUUUAACCCCUAAAUCAAGCCAAUCAAGCAUCAUUUCUUAUACAACAAGACAUACCAUAUCUAACUAAUUUUACAUGGUUAAAAACACAUUCAAAUCAACAAAUACAUGCCAAAAUUUCGUUCAUCCUAUGUCUAACCAAUAUGCCAUCAAAAGGCACCUCAAUCCAUACAUCCAUUCAACUCAAGAACAAAGUUACAAUAAAUGAACAAGUUUUAUCAUUAGUUAACCAUUCAUGCCUAAAACCACUAAUCUAAUUGACCAAAAUAUGGGCAUACUCAACAAGCAACCAUUUCAAAACAUCAUCAUCAAAUCUUUAUAUACCAUUUAUGAUCAACUUAAUUAUAUUCAACACAAGUACACAUCCAAAAUCAAGCACAUCACUAAGUAUGCCAAAAUAACUUAACUAUUUACAUAUCAACAAUAAGACACCAUAUCCCAAAAUGAAAUAAAAAAGCUACCAAGAUGGUUGGAUAGUGUGUGCUCCAAAACAAUUCAUCCGGUUAGUCCACAAAACGCCAAAUCAACCAAUAUAGAUAAACAAAAAGGUAAGUUCUAAUUCUUGAUAUUCAAAUGCAAGAUCACACCACAUUAGUAUAUAUUUAUUUACAUCAUAAAUGAUACCUUCCAAAAUUCAUAACCAAUUCAUCAUCCACAAUUUCUCAAUACAACCAUUAAUAUUUAUAAACAAGAACUUCAUAGUAACAUUUAUCAUUUAGUAGUAAUAUAAUUAUCCAACAAAAUUGAACAAAUAAAUGCGUUUUAAGUCAUUUGAUACAUAGCCUGCUGAACUAUAGUAACUUGACUCGGAUACUCAUGAUACUACAUCACACCAAAGGUAUCAAUGAUGCAUAACAGAGGCACCGAAGUGCAGACAAAUGCAUGAAUGUGCAAUCAGAGGCACCGAAGUGAAAACAGAUGCACCAAAGUACAAACCCGUACGAGUGCGCAUUAAAACCCUAUUGGCAUGCUAAUCGUAUCCUAAUUGUUUACUACGUUCAACUGGGCAUUAUACUUAAAAUCAUAAUAUCAAUAAAUCCAUCAUUUAGAGGCACUUCUUAUUUCCGUACACAUACUAUAAAUAUGUAACUUUCAUUUCAAUAAUAUGCAAUAACAAUAAUUACCAUCAUCAAACAUUCAUUUUCUAUUUGUACUUAAUUGCAAAAUUUAAUAAUAUAUAAGUAACUCAUGAAAUUUCACAUAUAUACCAUUAACUAGAAAACAAUAAUAUAAUCAUAAAGUGACACACAUAUACAUAUUAUUACACUAUGAACUUACCUAAAAUCUACUUUCGAUUAAUACACAGGGACUACUCCGCUAUUUUUUCCCUUUUCUCGGUUAUUGUCUUUUUGACUCGGUUCUUGAUCUAUAUAGUAAUUAAAUUCAAUUUAUGAAAUUCACAUACAUUUAAAACUCAAUUCAAUGCAUGAUACCCUUAUGUUUUCAUUAUUUUCACAUUUUUCUUAAACUUUUACAUUUCUCACAAUUUAGUCCCUACAAAAUUUAACAAAAUUUUACAAUUUUCCAUGUUAGUUGAACUUCUUUCGAAACUAGUACAAUCCCUAAUUAUUCACAAUUCACAAAAUUUCUAUGCAAAUUUUAAUAAUUCACACAUUGAUCAUUAAACUCAAAAUUAACACAAAUUUUUUUACAAAAAUAUCCUAAUCAACAUUCAAAUAUGUACAACUACCAUUAAAAAUCAUGAACACCAAAAUUCCAUUACUAACCAAUCCCUAAAACUUUAACAUUUUUAUAAUUCCAUCCUCGGGUUUAAUAGUUUAAGUUACAACGAGUUCAAAAACGUAAAAAUUAUUAAAAACAGGUAAGAGAAACACUUACAUGCACCAAUUUGCUAACCGAAACUUCAAGCUCCAAAAAUGGAGUUUUUUUUUUCUUUUUCGGUGGGAGAGAGUUGAGAAGAUGAUGAUACCAUUUUUUUCUUUUGUUUCUUUUCUUUAAUCAAACUAAUUACUAAAUUAUCCUUUUAAUCUAAACUAAAUUAUUAACAUAGCAUGUCCGUAAUUAUCCAUUAACUAACCAUAAGGUUUAUCUAUCAACCAAGUCCAUUACUUUAGUUUUUCUUUAAAAAUCAAGCACAUUUAACAAAUAGAAGCCACUUUAGCAUCUUUUACAAUUUAGACCUUUUUACUAAAUUAACUAAACAGACAUUAAAAUUUCUUAGCCAAAUUUUAUUAUGACUCCAAUAUAACUCUAUAAGCAUAAAAUAAACAUAAAAUACUAACUCAUUUGUCGAAAUUGUGGUCCUGAAACCACCUUUUUUGAUACCACUGAAAAAUGAGAUAUUACAUUAAAUCUCUAAUUUAUGAUAAUGAAUGUGAGAGAAUAAUUUUCUUUGUUUAGAAAUACUAAUCAUUUUCUUUGUUUAGUAAUACUACAACUAGAAUGUGUUUCGACCCUAUUAUUAGAAACUAAUAAUGGAAACCCAACUUUUAAUUAGAAACCUCUAAUUUUAAAGUUUAAUAGGUAACACCCCGAAUUUUGGCCCUAGAAGAAAUAUGUUUUGAACAAGGGAACAGUUAGGAGACUGCACAUAAAUAUUUAGUUGUGCAAGGAAGUGACAUAAAUGAAUGUCUACUUCAGUGGUUGAGUGAUUUAGGAGUGUUUGGAACUGUCUGAGAAGUCAGGGAUUCAAGCAUUGCUUAUGCAAAAUUUUUAUUUUAAGUGAAUAAAAUCAUUGGAUCUAGAUAGUAAGUUCUUAAAUUAUUGUGGUUAAAAUAUGAUGCAAAAGAGUUGUUGGUCUAGUGGUAAGGGGUGUGUGGAGUGCACAUAGGGCCUAAGGUUCGAGUGGUGGCGCAUCAGAAAGGAAAUAUUUAUUUUGCUACUUGAGCUGUUUAGGUAGUGGAGUUGGACUGAAACACAACUAAGGGGAGUUUGCAUAGAAUUUGAAUGGAGUUGUUGGGGGAGUUGAGGAGAAACCGGUAGAAUAAUUUAAGGAGGGAUAAGGGGAGAGAUUUUAGGAGAAAAUCAAGGGAAGUGAGGGGAGUGAAGAAGUGUGCCGAAAGUGGACUUUGAUACUCAGGAAAUUUGGCCAGAAGGGAUACUGCUCAUUUUGGUAUACUUUUCAUUUCGGUUUUGUGUAGUGUUUCUCUCUCUUUUUGCUUUUUGGUGCCGAAUUUUUGCUAAGAUUUCGAGUACCACUCGGGUUUUUCUUUUGCUGCUUUUUUCUUUUAUCAUUUCUUUUGUUUUGGCCGAAUUUCUUUUUAGUUCCCUCCUUUGUCGAAUUCUUUUCUCUCUUCUCUUUGUUGCUUCUUUUCAUUUCUCUAUUUUUCCAAACCUUGACCGAACAGUGUUGAAGUAGUUCUGUGUUCCAUCUUUUGUCUAAAAUGCUCUUCUUCCUCUACUCCUUUUGAUCAACUAUUUGUCGAAUAUUGCCUUCUCUCCCCUUUUAUCUCUUUAAAUUUAUUUUCGGCUUGACAACAAUUCUCUAACAGUUCAAAUUUCUUGAGGAGUGAAAAAGUAUCGCAUAAUAUUAAAGUCAUCGAAACCUUUCUCUCAUCACUCGAUCAAAGGUAAGUAUGUAGGCUAGCAUUCUAAAGUGUAGGCUGAGUGCUUUCUAUGGUUUCAUAAGUUAUUAUGUUUGGAUUUAAACCACAUGAAUAAACAAUCCUAUUUAAUAAAAUCCGUUUGUAAUGCAGAUAUCCAUCAAAGAGAUUGUAGUCAACCUUCGUCAGUGAUAUAAGUAGGCUAAGUCACAUUUGACAAUCGAGGCUUUGGUGCUCGUGGAUCUUAGAGUGUUUUCACAAUCAGGUGUGUAAACACCCCACUGUAACCGUAGAACGACAAAAAGCUAAAAGGCCAAAAAUACGGUGUUUGAGACCACACAGGCGUGCGAUCUCUCAUGUGGUAAGCCCAACCCACAAAUCAUGGCCGAUAGACUGUAGAGGCCUCCAUGAACAUUUCCAUGGGCUUAGGCCGUAAUGGGCCACGUUGGGCCGAAAUGGGUCGUGUGGGUUCAAUAGGCUCGUGGGCACCAUACAGAUGAGAACCACGAUUUGUGAAAAAUACUGGACUGGGCUAUGAAGAUCUCAUAGCCGUGGAAAAAUCUGGGCUGAACAGGCCGCACAAGCGUGCGGGCCUACUUGGGCCGAGUAAUGGGCCUUAGGCCCAUUUGUACCAUUAUGACCAUUUAGGUUACCUGAGUCGCUCGAGGUAACUACGGACCUUUCGAGAGGUCGAUAUCUGCACCAAGACCCAAAAUAGGUAAAAUGAUCGAAAUACCCCUAUAGAGUAAAAUGACCGAAAUACCCCCAAAGGAUAAAAUGAUUGAAAUACCCCUAUAAGGUAAAACGAUCGAAAUACCCCCGUAGGAUAAAAUAACUAUUAUACCCCUAGAAGAUGAAAUGACUGUUAUGGCCUUAUGCUAUGUAUGACUGUUUUGCUCUAUGAUAUGUAUGACUAUGGUUGAGCAUGACAUUUUUCAUACACGUAUGAUAUUAUGUCAUGAUAUAUUGCAUGGGGAUGGAUUGUUAUAUUUGGAGGAAGUGUACUGUACUGACAAGGUUGCACGGGUCGCCCAAGACGACUGUGGACCUACUGAUGGCUAUAUGCCAUUUAUUUUACUGGCAGCUUUGCUGCAAUACUGUUUAAUGCUGCAACUGGUGCUAAUCUUGGUGUGUUUGGAUGGAUGGGUAGAUUUUAUCCCCCAUAUGGUGUGUUUGGCGGAACUGUAACACCCUUAACCUGAAUCCAUUCUGACAUUGUCUCACAAAAUUUAUUAUAUCUCAUAGUUUACAAUUUUAUUACUUACACCAUUUCUUCCAUGAGAAACUAGACUCAAUAAGUUUUAAUUCUAUAUUUUAUUCAUACUCUAAUUCGAUUUUCAUAAUUUAUGGUGAUUUUUCAAAGUGAGCCUACUGUUGUUGUCCAAAACUAUUUUAGUACAAGAUGUUUAUUACCAUGUUUAUAACACCCUUAUUUUCUUUCUCUACACUAUUUCUCAUCCCUUUCUCUUAUUUUCUCUUCACUUACAUAUUAAGAACAUAGGACCAUAUAUACAAAAAAACUUUACACUAACAUCAUUUCCAUACUUUUUCAAUAAUAUCAAACUUAAAAAUAUACUAAAAUCUUGAUGUACUUACCUUGUCAUAUUGAUUUUAAUCUUUAACUUGAUUUUCUCUCUCCUCCAGCUUCUAUUUCUUGAAUCUAACUUGAUAUUAUAGCUCCCCAUAGUCUCCUUGUAAUCUUUCUCUCUUGAUGGAUAUGGAAAUUCUUUUGAUUUCUAGAUGAAAAUAGUGAAUUUUUGGUGAAAGGACUAAAUUGUAAAGAAAGCAAAACUUUCUUUCUUCUCUUCUCCUCUUAACGUGAAUUGCAUGGAAAAGAUGGUGGGUUGGUUCCUUUUCAUCUUUCUUUCCACAUAUAUAUACUAAAUAAUAAAAUAAUAAAAUAUCAUUUAAAAAUCAAAUUAAAAUACUAAUAAACUAAUAUUUAUUUGUUUAUUUAAUCUAAAAUAUCUCCAACAUCAUCAUUAUCUUCUAGAUUUCUCUCUCUUCUAAUUGACCAUUUUGCCCUUCAUGAUAUUUUAAAAUUCCAUCCUUGAGUCAUCACUUAAUUUCGUAAAAUUUCAAUUUAGUCCCUCAAAAUUCCUCACCUUUUUUCAAUUUAGUCCUAAUACAUCCAUUUUCCUUAGUUUCUAGAUCAUUCCACCCUUAAAAUAUUUACACCAUUGGUCCUUCAAUUUUUUCAUAUUUACACUUUAACCCCUCAAUUUUUGAGUAUUUACUCUUGGGCAACAAAAUUUUUACGAUUUAAUCCUUUCUUGAGGUAAUAUGUCAUAAUAUACUUCCCAAUGUUGACAUAACUCCAAAAUUCCCUUUUUUGUCGCUUUAUUUCCUUAUUUUUUUAUAUCAAAGAUAAUAUCUUACUGUAAAAAUUUUUUUGGGGGGUAUUACAUUUCUCUCCCCCUCAAAAUAAAUUUCGUCCUCGAAAUUUCCUUAUUUUCUUUUGAUCAUGAACUUAUUUUUUCUUUAAUUCUAUAGUUCAUUUUUUUUGCAUAUAUUUACUUAGCUUAUCAUUUGUGUCUAUUCUUUAUUCUUUCAUUUCACAAUUUAUUUUUAAUUUAAUAUUUCAAACAUGAAUCAGAGAUAAACUUUUACCUUGUAACUAAAAUUAUUUACCUUUUUACCUGAGGCCCAGUGGACUAAAUAGAACACGUAGGAUAUAUGAAAUUGAUACAGAAGUGCUCUGUUAUACAUCAUUAAACAGAGAGCACUAAAGUGUUAUACGGGAGCAUAAAUGUGCUAAUAAUUGGAGAGCACUAGCGUGCUAUUAAUCAGAGAGUGCGCUAAGGUUCCUUAAUGAUAUACUACUAAUAUCCUAAUAGUUCUAAUCUCAUCUACUUGGGCAAAUUAUAUCAUGCAUGCAUACGACUUUUACACUUUGCGCAUAAUGCUUUUACAUACUUUACAAUUUAAACCUUGUACCAAUGAUUCGUAUAUUUAUACCUUCUCUACCUUUAAUACAUGUAAUAUAUUUCAAAAUUCACUAAUAAUCCAUAUAUAUCAUGUACUUCAUAUAUCAUUUUUACAUAUUAUGCAAUUUAGUCAUCAGCGCAAUAUUUCUUGUAGCAAUAUGUUUUUCUUUUAAUGACACAUAUAACAUUCAUCAUCGACAUGUAUUAUAAAACAUUUAUUCAUACUUUCAUGAGUUCCAAUUCAUCCUAAUCAAUUUUUUUUACUCAUAUACUUGAGUAUCACUUUCAACAUUAUCAGAAUUAGCUCGGUUAGGAAAACAUCUCUGUUUAUAAGUAAAACAAUUCUCAUCAGACUCGAGAGAUAUCACACUAUCACAGGUUACAUAAUGGCAUGCAUUUCUAGACUUCACAUAAGCUACGUUUGGUCCAAGAACCGACUAAAUCGUAGCUCUGAUACCAAUAAAUGUAACACUCUUAACCCGAAUCCAUUCUGACAUUGUCUCACAAAAUUUAUUAUAUCUCAUAGUUUACAAUUCUAUUACUUACACCAUUUCUUCCAUGAGAAACUAGACUCAAUAAGCUUUAAUUCUAUAUUUUAUUCAUACUCUAAUUCGAUUUUCAUAAUUUAUGGUGAUUUUUCAAAGUGAGCCUACUGUUGCUGUCCAAAACUAUUUUAGUACAAGAUGUUUAUUACCAUGUUUAUAACACCCUUAUUUUCUUUCGCUACACUAUUUCUCAUCCCUUUCUCUUAUUUUCUGUUCACUAACGUAUUAAGAACAUAGGACCAUAUAUACAAAAACUUUACAUUAACAUCAUUUCCAUACUUUUUCAAUAAUAUCAAACUUAAAAAUAUACUAAAAUCUUGAUGUACUUACCUUGUCAUAUUGAUUUCAAUCUUUAACUUGAUUUUCUCUCUCCUCCAGCUUCUAUUUCUUGAAUCUAACUUGAUAUUAUAGCUCCCCAUAGUCUCCUUGUAAUCUUUCUCUCUUGAUGGAUAUGGAAAUUCUUUUGAUUUCUAGAUGAAAAUAGUGAAUUUUUGGUGGAAGGACUAAAUUGUAAAGAAAGCAAAACUUUCUUUCUUUUCUCCUCUUAACGUGAAUUGCAUGGAAAAGAUGGUAGGUUGGUUCCUUUUCAUCUUUCUUUCCACAUAUAUAUACUAAAUAAUAAAAUAAUAAAAUAUCAUUUAAAAAUCAAAUUAAAAUACUAAUAAACUAAUAUUUAUUUAUUUAUUUAAUCUAAAAUAUCUCCAACAUCAUCAUUAUCUUCUAGAUUUCUCUCUCUUCUAAUUGACCAUUUUGCCCUUCAUGAUAUUUUAAAAUUCCAUCCUUGAGUCAUCACUUAAUUUCGUAAAAUUGCAAUUUAGUCCCUCAAAAUUCUUCACCUUUUUUCAAUUUAGUCCUAAUACAUCCAUUUUCCUUAGUUUCUAUAUCAUCCCACCCUUAAAGUAUUUACACCAUUGGUCCUUCAACUUUUUCAUAUUUACACUUUAACCCCUCAAUUUUUGAGUAUUUACUCUUGGGCAACAAAAUUUUUACGAUUUAAUCAUUUCUUGAGGUAAUAUGUCAUAAUAUACUUCCCAAUGUUGACAUAACUCCAAAAUUUCCCUUUUUGUCGCUUUAUUUCCUUAUUUUUUUAUAUCAAAGAUAAUAUCUUAGUGUAAAAAAAAAUUUUUUGGGUAUUACAGGAACAGAGUGGUGUGUAGAGGCUGGAUUGGGUAGGAUUUCUAACUGCAUAUCUACACUAAUUAAUGAUUUUGUAUUGUUACUACAUCGAUUAAUGAUAUUACAUACUGUUUACUGCAUGACUGAUAUUUGUUGCUGUUAUGGGCCAAGGCCCCACUGAUACUAUUACUGAAAUUGGGCAAAUGCCCUAUUGAUUAUUGGUAUUGUGAUGGGCUCAAGCCCAAUCGUUUAAUGUUACGGGAAAGGGCUUAGGCCCACACUGAACUGGACUGUUACUAUAACAGGCUCAGGCCCAAACUGUAUUUAUCUAUUGUUUAAUUGACUACUUACUUGUUAGGGGAUUGCACACUGAGUUUUCGUAAACUCAACCCGUUGUUUAACUGUACAGGUAAUCCCUAGUUGUAGUAGGGUCAGUGCUGCGAGGGACUCGAUGAUGGCCACACAACUGCAUCAGCUUUUGUUUUUAGCCUUUGAUUUAUAAGAAACUGAAUUUGGGUAUUUUUAUGUAAAAAGGCCUCUUUAAAGUUAUAAACUUUAAAUUGGGGUUUUUAUUUAUUUAGUUUGAUAUAAACUACUAGUUGUAGAAAAAGACGGGUUUUCAAAAGGUAAAUGUUUUCAAAGUUUCAAAAGGUAAAUGUUUUCAAAGACACCACGUUUUCGCAACAUUUCUAAAAAAAAACUUCCGCAAUGAAUGAGAUUUUGGAAAAUUUAUAACGUUUUAAAAGUGAUUAGCUUUUAAUGAUGCAUGCUUGGAAAUGAACAACCCGUUUUGGAAUCAUAGUUUAACAGCAAAAUGAUUAAUUGAUUUUAAAGAUUUCAACGACAACAAGUUUUACGCUAAACACCUUAAAGUGACACCGCCAGAUUCAACCAUAACUCCUAGGCCGGGUUUGGGGUGUUACAAUGUGUUUCAACCCUAUUAUUAGAAACUGAUACCCUAUUAUUAGAAACUGAUAAUGGAAACACAACUUUUAAUUAGAAACCUCUAAUUUUAAAAUUCAAUAGGUAAAAGCAAGUUAUCGUUAAGUGCCUGUGAUACGCUAGUAAAACUCAUUCUAGAAAAAAAAGUUUAAUGGAAACAAUUGUUAUCCAUUGCGUAUAGAGGAUGAAUUUGAAUACUAUUAAUUAAGUUCAUUGUUUAUUGUUUAAAUGUCUAAAGUAAGGGAGACAUUAAAAGAACUCUACCUUUAUAAACAUAAGAAGUGGUGCCACUUCAACAAGUAAAGGUAGGGUCUCUCUUGUAAAUGUUUAUUAUGAACAAGAUAAGCACAUGAUCAUUUUAGUGCUAAAAGUGAACAACCUCUGAUAGAAAUAUAAACGAAUAUUAUGUAUAGUGUAUUUCAACUUCUAAUACUAGGAGUUGUGGUUCAAUCUUCGGACACCGACAACUUAUUAAAACUUUGAAAAGCAUCCGCUUAUUGAUGGUUCAUAUUGAGAGGUAUCAUCUUUAAUGCAUAAUAUUUGUUUGAGUGAAUGACCAUAAAGUAUGGUACCAACAUUUAAACUAAGGGUGAUUGUUAGUAGUUUAUAAUUUUGGCAGUAAAAAUAUUUUAUUAUGUAGAAAAGUCUAAUAAAUUAUAAUUAUUGGUCAAAUAGUUGUGUUGUAAAGACAAUUUUUGUAUGUAAAGUUGUCUUAUAAACUUUAUGUAAAGUUGUGUUGUAAAACAACAAAAUUAUAUGAAAAUGUAUCUUAUUAAAAGAUACAUCCAUAUGAAAGGGUAUCUCAUGAAAAGAUACACCUAUUAGAUGUCUAUAUAAAAGAUUUUUCUGUUAGUUAUUUAAAUUGUUUUGCUUGGAGUGUUGAGGGCUUUGUUGUAUCUUGAAGGUAUUUUAAAAUCUUAAAGAAAGUGCUCUACACACCUUAAAGUCAUUAUAUUUUAUAACAUUAUUUUAUUUUUCUAACUUUUAUUUUCCUAUUAUUUAUUUUUCUAACAGCUAGAAUAUAGGAAAAUUAUUAUGUUUCUAGCUAUAUAUUGAAUACAAGUAUGUUGGUGUUUAGAACUCGAACUUUGAUGGUUGAUCGAGAGAUUUGAAGCAGAAAGAAGAGACGGGAAGUUUUAAGUAGAAAAAUAAUUGAAGACUGGAAUAUAUAAUUGAUUUGCACCUCAACUAUUUAAAUACAAAAGUUCAAGCUAAAAAUAGAAAAAAAAAGUUCUAAAAAUCUGCUAAAAAUCUGGUAACAAAAUAGCAAACAAAUCAAAAAUCUAAUCUCCUAAAGUCAAGGAGAAUUAUUCAAACUUAGUAACAGAAAAAAUUUAAAUGGCAGCAAUCUUAAACACAUGAUCUUAACACUCCUCCUUGUUUAGAUGCUACAAACUCCAAGUUUCUUCCUGAAGCUUUCAAACUUGCUAAGUGGCAAUGGUUUGGUGAAGAUAUCUGCAAUUUGAUCUUCAGAUUUGUAGUAACAAAGAGACACAUCACCACUCUUUUAAACUUCUCGAACAAAAAAUAACUUGAUGUUAAAAUGCUUAGUCUUCCCAUGAAAGACUGGAUUGUUAGAGAUUGCAAUGGCAGCCUGGUUAUCAACUAGAAUCUUUGUGCUUUGCUUCUACUCCAUGUUUAGAUCAACAAGAAUCUUCCUUAACCAGAGAGCUUGGUUAACUGUUGCUGUUGCAGCCAUAAAUUCUGCCUCAACAGUGGAUUGAGCUACAGUUUCUUGCUUCUUCGAGCUCCAAGAGAACAUGCCUGAUCCAAGGCAAAAACAAUAACCAGAGGUACUCUUCAUAUCAUCAGUUAAGCCACCCCAAUCACUGUUAGAGAAACCAAUCAACUUCAAUUCCCUAUGCUUUAAAAACUUUACUCCAUAAUUCCAGGUCCCCUUGAUGUAUCUGAUAACUCUUUUUGCAGCUCUCAUGUGAGUCUCAUUGGGACAAUGCAUGAAUCUGGAGAGAAUACUUACAGCAUUCAAGAUGUCGAGUCUGGUUGUUGUUAAGUACAUUAGACAACCUACCAAACUCCUGAACUCAGCUUCAAUGACUUUGGCAGAACCAUCAUCUUUGAUUAGCUUCUCUUUUUGAUUCAUAGGAGUACUCAUUGCUUUGCAAUCUUCCAUAUGGAAUUUUCUAAGUAUCUCCUUUGCAUACUUUCUUUGACAGAUGAACACUUCAUCUUGGCUUUAUUUGAUCUCAAUGCCAAGGAAAUAAGACAUCAGAUCAAGGUCUGUCAUUUCGAAGACAUUAUGCAUUUCCAAUUUAAACUGAUUAACUUGAUCGAUAUUGCUCCUUGUAAUCAAUAAGUACAAAUAAGCAAGCUUUUUCCUUUGAUUUCCUUAUCUUCUUUUCUUUUUGUGCUUUAAUCUGUGCCACAGUAGGAUUUGCUGGAAGAGGUGGGACCUCGUAAUCCUCUUCUACAGGUUCCCAAAGAUCCAAAGCCUCUAUGUAAGUCUCCAUGCGAACUGCCUACAUCUGGUAAUUGUCUCCAUCGAAGACUGGUGGUGCAGCAACUGAAAAACUGGACCCUCCUUCCAUAUUAACACGCAAAUAACCUAACAAAUCCCUCAAGAAAAUAGCUCUGAUACCAAUUUGUUGGUGUUUAGAACUCGAACUUUGAUGGUUGAUCGAGAGAUUUGAAGCAGAAAGAAGAGACGGGAAGUUUUAAGUAGAAAAAUAAUUGAAGACUGGAAUAUAUAAUUGAUUUGCACCUCAACUAUUUAAAUACAAAAGUUCAAGCUAAAAAUAGAAAAAAAAUGUUUUAAAAAUCUGCUAAAAAUCUGGUAACAAAAUAGCAAACAAAUAAAAAAUCUAAUCUCCUAAAAUCAAGAAGAAUUAUUCAAACUUAGUAACAGAAAAAAUUUAAAUGGCAGCAAUCUUAAACCCAUGAUCUUAACAAAGUACUACUUGGAAGCCAACACCCACAAACAUGAUAAAAGUUAAUUUUGAUGAGAGUUUUGACAUGGAAGCAAGAAAUGAGGAAGAGGGUAGUUAUGCAGCAUUGUGAUGAUUUUUUAGUCUGACUAUGCAACCAUCCAAUUUAGGGUGCAUUCUCCAUUGUGGUGAAAAAGCACUUAAAGAACAUUUGGUUUUUGCACUUAAAAUGUGAUGGAAAAAUGUUUUUCCACCCAAAUACAAAAACUAGGAUAUAAAUGUUUUUGACUUUUAGCUUUUAUGUUUGGAAGUGAAAAUUAUCAAAAUAUCAUUAUUUAUAUUAACUAUUUAAAUGGUAUAUAAAAAUUAGAUUAAUUUAUAUUUUAUAUAUCAUUAUAUUAAAUUAUUUAAAUAUUAUUUAUUAUUAUAUAUUUUAAUAAUUUAUAUAUCAUCUAUUUUACAAAUAAUUUAUAUUAAUUACUUAAAAAAUAUUUGGAACUUAUAUUUCAUGUAUCAUUAUAUUAAAUUAUUUAAAUAUCACAUAAUUUAACUAAUUUUUUACUUUCCACUAUCAUGUCUAAAGAAAAGGAUAUUUUAACUUUUAACAAGAAUUUUUUGUAGCAAUGGAGAACACCAAAAAUUAAUAAACACACUUUUUCAUAGUAAUUUUCAACCACACUUUUCAACCGCAACCCUAAUGAAGAAUUAAUCCUUACUAAAGUUACCGAAGCACUAGCUUCCACCGUAGCCAUUGAAAUGGCGCUCCAAUUGGGAUUGCAACACAUUAUUAUUAAAGGAGAUGCUCUCCAAGUGGUUUCGGAGUUGAAGGAAGACAAAGGAGACCUACCAACAACCGGACCUUGAUAGCAAAGAGUUGAAUACUUGCUAAACAGGUUCAGCAAUGUAGGUUUCAACACAGGAAGAGGCAUGCUAAUGAGGUGGCACAUCAUCUGACCAAACAGGGCCUUAAUUGUUUUCCAUCUUUUGUUCAUAUGUUUGUUUUGAAAAGGUAAAACAAAUCCUCACCUAUUGAUGUUAGAACGGUUGAAUUGCUAAAAGCAUGCUGCAUGCAUAACCAUGCUUUAGGUUAGGCUUCAAAUUAAAUAAAUUUUAAAUUAUUUUUAUUUAAAUUUAAUUAUAAAAAUAAAUUAAUAUCAAUAGAAAAUUAUAUAAAAUUUUAAGAUAUUUUAUUUUUCAAUAAUAAAACGAAUCAUUCACCAAACCUAAUUCUUCAAUUUCUUUUUAAUUAGAUCACAACUCAAGCCAAGCUAACCAAUAAACACCCAAAAUCUACCAUCAUUUUCAUUUUCAUUUUUUUUUCUUUUGUGACAAAGUAGACAGAAGAUUCGGUUUGGAUAAGCUCUACGUUAUUAAGUCAAAAGCUGAAGUAAUUUUAAUCAUAAAUUGUUUUAUUUGUCUAUAAUGCAAAACAAUGACCCAGUUAGUACAAUAAAGCUUUAACUUUGUGGAACAUUUCAGUCCAAAAAAAAAAAAAAAAAGAAUUGUGGAAAUUUUAGAGCAGUUGACCAUUUCUUCGGAAUUAGUUUUCUCACUUCUUGUCCAUAUUCCAUGUAUAUUAUUUCAAGAAAUUAGGUUUAGAAAUUUGCAUAAUUCAACCAUUGAACUAAUAAAUAUUAAACAAAAAUUGGGUGGCAAAAAAAAUCUUAUUAAAAUCAUAUACUAUUACUAAAAUUUAUGAUUAAAUUAGUGUCACGAGUUAACGGGACAUUAACAAAUUAUAUUAUUUGAGGGUAUUUUAAUCUUUUUAUUAAAAAAGAUGAUGUCUCAAAUUAACUCACAAUCUAAUCUAAUUUUUCAUUUUAAUAUUGUAAAUAUUUCAUGUUUUAUUAUUAAUUUGUUUCAAAUUAUACAUUUCAUUAUUUAUUUUAUGUUAUUUUUAAACACAUCUGUAUUCUAAGUACCUAAUUUUCACUUAUGGGUAUCAGAGGCGAAUCUAGGGAGGCUGAUAGGGGUCUCGGUCCCCUUAAAAUAGAAAAUUAUUAUUUAAGCCAUUUAGAAAAUUUUAAAAUUUUAAAUUAGUAAAUGUAAAAUUACACUUUGACCCCUCUAAAAUUAUAAAAAUUUGAUUUAAUCCUUUAAAAAUUAUAAAGAUAUAAACUAUUAAAAAUAAAAAUUUCAUUUCGGCCCUGCCUAAAAAAUUUUUUUGACUUCACCCCUAAAGUAUGAUAGAGUUUCUAGUAUGAAUAAUUUUCUUUGGAAGUGUUAAACAAACAAAGGAGUUAAGUAAACAGUAGUUUUCAUACAGAAAUAUUCGGCGUUGAUGUUUCCCUUUCGAAUAAUUAAAUUAAGACUUAGGAAAAGGGAAAACAAUGAAAAAGAAACUAAAAUUGAGCUUAAUUUAUGGAGUUGGGUUAAAAUUUUAAUAUUUAAAUAUAAAAAUUCUAAUAAUUUGAUCUGGUCCGUUUCAUCUAGCAGACUAAUAAUAAAUCUUAAAACAUAUUAUAUUUUAAUUUAAAUAAAACCAAAACUAAUACACUUGACCUACAUCUACAUGUGAUCUAUGCUUCAUUUAAAUUAGUCUAAAUUAGACGAGAUCUUGAUUAGGAGUCAUUUAUUUAUAUUAUAAGUCCCUGAAACAUGCAAAACUUACAUUUAAAAAUUAAUAUUUUUACGUUGUUGUUAGAAUAUAGGGUUUGUUAAUGUUUUCGUGUGAAGUCAGCUGUUGACAUUACCAAUCAGAUAAUGAAAAGGAAACAUGGCAAUUAUUCCAUCCUAAUUGUCACCAAAUUAAGUUAAUCCAAAAAUUACCAAACGUUUAGUACUUCAAUGGUAGAGUCAGCUCUUUCUUCUAGUCUAUCAAAAAAAGUCAAUUUAACCCCUAACUCUUGGAUGGAAAAGUUUUUGCUAUGAACUUGUUGAAGUGAAUCUCAUGUGAUAUAAACGCAUCGCAAUCUCCGUGUGUAACUAAAAAUAUUUGAGAGAUUGAAUAAUUUAAAGGGGAAAAAAAAAGAAUUUACUCCCUCCACUAACAAAUUACUCUUGCCAACGUAUGUAUGAAAGUAAACACCUUUAAUUAAUCAACAAAUGCUAAAGUUCGAGGUUUAGAAUUAAUUAAAUACCAAUAUAAAUAGUUAAUUACUUUUUUGAAAUAAGGAUAAAUCAGUUUGUGAGGUUUGAAUUUUUUGUAUCUUAACAAUUGUUCUGACUUUAGAGUUUGAAGGUUUUUUUUUUAUCCAAAUUAACCUAUGAACUUAGUAAUUUGUCUCUCAUUAAGGUUUAAAUUUUUUAUUUAUCUAAGUUAAUUCUUAAAAAUCUUGAAAUUCGAGAAUAAUUGUCAAGUUAAAAAAAUUUAGAUUUCAAUAUGAGAAUAAUCUACUAGUUCGUAACCUUAAUAUAAAAACAAUUGUUAAGUUGAAAACUUAAUUUAAAAACAAAUUCAAACCCUUCUUAAGUUUACGAUUUAACCCUUUGAAAUAUUGCGUUAACUAGUAAGAGUAAGAAUUAUUUUGUGUUGAUGAUUAAAUAAAUAUUUAAGUGGAGAUCAAGUUUUACCUCAUUUGUCAAUUGUCAGGUGAAGAAUAUAUACCCCUAAAGGCCUAUCAAAAACGGACCUAUCUCUAUCUAUAUAUCUUAACUAAUUUACUAUUCAUUUUUAAUGAAAAUCAAUAAAUCAAUGAAAACGUUAUAAAAAGAAAACUACGUGAAUAAAUUAUAUGUGUAAAAUUGAAAUAUUUCUUAUUUUAGUACAAUGGUAAGGAACAUUACAUUUUUAAGGAAAUGAUGUCAGGUUCAAACCUUAAAGAUAAUAUUCUUCUUCUUGAGAAGAACAAUCCCAAACUCCAAAAUGAACCCUUAUGAAUUAUAUAAAAAAAUUUUGAAAUAUUUCUAUAAAAUAUCAUUAAAGUUUUUUAUUUAAAAAAUGUUAUGGGUAUACUUUUACCUCUUGUAAAAAAGUCUUUCAUUUCUCAAUUCUUAUGGCAUAGUAAAUUUAUCAUUAAUUUUCAUCUUUAGGUAAAAAAAAUGGUUAUUAUUUGUGUAUUAAAUAAUUGUUAGGAUAAAUUUUAAAAUUGUAUAUGAAUUUUGGUUUAAUGUUAAUUAUAUACAUUAAUUUUAAUUUUAUGUAAUUUUAUAAAUGAAAUUUUAAUUUGAUCCAAUUCUAACAAAUUAUUAACACAGUUAUUGAUAUAACAUCAUUUUAUGUUUAUAUGCUAUAUACAGAAAUAAUUAUGUUUAUUCAAUAUAAAAAUAAAUUGAUGUAUUUAUUUCUUUAAACAUAUAUGAUUGAAUCAAAAUUAAAACAUCGUGUAUAUAUUUGAACCACAAUUAAAAUUUUACAUAUAAAAUUACAUAAAAUUACAAUUUAUAUACGUAAUAAACUAAAAUUCAUAUAUAAUUUUAAGAUUUAUGUCCACAAUUCUCUAAAGCUAAACGGUGAUGAUUACCAUGGAAAUUCAAUGUACUUAACUAAUUGGUUGAUAGGAACAGGCAUGAUGAAAUCCAUGAUGGGAAGAGAGAGAAUUCAAAAACUGGAAUGCCCCCAUUAAUCCAUGCAAAUAAACUUUUUCGGUAUUACAUCAUAAUUCAUUUAAUUUUAUCAUCAUCUCUAUGCCAUAACCAUGUUUAAAGUAAAAUACUUAUAUAAAUUGAGACAUUAAUAGUUUGUAUUAUAUAAAUUAUGACAUCCAUAUAUCCAUAUUAUAAUUUUUAUGAAAAAUUAGAGCUGGCAGAUAAAAAAUGGCUUACUGAUCAAUGAAAAAUAAACUUUAUUUCUUGUAAAUUGACUUAUCCUUUUAAAAAGUAUAAAUAUUUUUUUAAAAUUCAUUUAUGAGUAAUUUUAUUAUUAUAAAAAUUAAUUUUGCAAAGUCUAAUAUUAUUAUAUUAAUAAUUUUAUUUUAAAACUAUUUAAAAAUACUAAUAUCAAAUAUUAUAAUGUUGAAUCCUAGUAACAUACAUAUUAAAUUAUUUAAAUUAUGUAAUAUUGCAAUUUUAUUUUAAUACUAAAUUUUAACAACAAUAAUUUUAAAUUUUAGAUCAUAUUUUUAAUAUAUUAUUGAAAAAUAUUUAUAUUAAUAUUUUAAUAAUAAAUAUAUAUAUUAAAAUUUAUAAAUAUUUAAUAAUAAAUGUUUUAUAGUAUAAAAUAUGAAUAUUUUAAUUAUAUAGAUAUGAGCAUUUGUUUAAAUCAUGUUUAGUUUCAUUUAUCUCCCAACUAUAAUGUGUUAUUAUACACCGUCAUAUAUAUAAUAUAUGUAAUUUAAGCAUUGUUUAUUAUUAAAUUUAUAUAUGAUAUUAAUUAUUAUAAAAUAUUAUCUUAUUAUAAAAGAAAUUCUAAUUAUCAAAAAGAAAUGUUACUUUAAUAUUUUGUAACAAGUAUAUUUAUGUUGGGCUUGUUUCAAUAAUAACUUUAAAAUGAUUUUAGAAAAAAAAUUGUCAAAUAAUAAAAAAAUAUUUUAAGCAAAAUAAUUCAAACACAAAAAACUAUCAACUUUUCCAUAAAAUCAAUCCAAUUUUAAGAAAACAUUUUGUGAAAAUUGUUUUAGGUAAAACAAAAGGAACCUAUAUUUUAUAUAGUAUUUGAAAAGUUGUUGUAUCUAGAAUUAUUAUCUUAAAUAUUUUUUUAGGUCUAAUUUUAAAUUUCAUCCCUUUAUGAAAAUUGAGAAGUUAAAUUUUCUAUUUUACUUUAUCAGUCUGUGCUUGAUUGUUUAUUAAUUUGUCGUGUAUAAAUGGUUAAAUUAUUGAUUUUUGUUAAUUACUAGCAUGUAAAUUGUCAAACUACUUGUUCUCAAGGGAACGGUAAAGUUUAAUAGUAUUAUCAAUUUAGAACAAUUUUUGAGUUUUUUCUUUUAUUUUUCAUGUUCGAGUCCAUAAUUACUCCUUCUAAUAAUGUCGUCUUUAAAGUUUGAGUUCGAAUUCAAAUUCUCUUUUUGGAAGUACAAUAUGCCUUAUAAUUAUACCUAAUACUUUUGAUUUUUGUAAAAUAUAAGAAUCAAAAUUGUGUAGUAGGAUUAAUUUCUAGAUUUUUUAAAUUUAAAAUUUAUAAUAUUAUCAAUCGCAUCACACACAAAACCAAAGAACAAGAGAAUCUAAAAAACACGUGGACCAUUAAUUUAGGAAUGGACAUUAUAUUUUAUUAGUGGAAUAAACUCAUGCAAAAUGGUUGGAAAACACAUACAGGAUUAUAUAUACUAAUCAUUUUUAUUAUUAAGCAGAAUCGGAAAUAAAUAAAUACGAGCGAAACCACUGAAUAAUACAGCAUUGAAAUGCAAUUUGUCUACAUCAUUAUUGUUCUUCACUUCAAACGCGGAGACUAGUCUAGGCUCCCAAUCUUUUGCUUUAUCUCUCUAGAUAUAUCCUUUUCAAACUAUCUUUUUGUAGCUUUAUUUGCAUCACAGCAUUAUCUUUUCCUGCAAACAACUGUUCAAUGAUUAAAACAUGCAAAACAUUCUGAAAUAAUGCACCCUUACCAGAUGACAAAAAAAAAAAAAGAUUCUAAUGUAUCUUACCUUGGAUUGGAGCACGGUCAAAGCCGUGGCUUAGUAGUGGUGAGGAGGAGGGGGUGAAGCGUAGACAUAAUGGGGUGGUGGUGGUGGAGGAGACUUGUAUUUGUAAACUGGAGGAGGAGGUGGUGGAGACUUGUACUUGUAAGGGUGCUUGGGGGGUGAUGGUGGGGGUGGUGGGGGUGACUUGUACUUGUAGGGGUGCUUGGGUGGUGACGGUGGGGGUGGGGACUUGUACUUGUAAGGAUGCUUGGGGGGUGAUGGUGGUGGUGGUGGAGGUGACUUGUACUUGUAGGGGUGCUUGGGUGGUGACGGUGGGGGUGGGGACUUGUACUUGUAAGGGUGCUUGGGUGGUGACGGUGGUGGUGGUGGGGGGGACUUGUACUUGUAGGGAUGCUUUGGUGGGGAUGGUGGUGGUGGUGGUGGGGACUUGUACUUGUAGGGAUGCUUAGGUGGUGAUGGUGGUGGUGGUGGAGACUUGUAUUUGUAAGGAUGCUUUGGUGGUGAUGGUGGUGGAGGUGGUGGGGACUUGUACUUGUAAGGGUGCUUGGGUGGUGAUGGAGGUGGAGGUGGUGGAGACUUAUACUUGUAAACUGGAGGUGGUGGGGGUGGAGACUUGUACUUGUAAGGGUGCUUGGGUGGUGACGGAGGUGGAGGUGGUGGAGACUUAUACUUGUAAACUGGAGGUGGUGGGGGUGGAGACUUGUACUUGUAAGGGUGCUUGGGUGGUGAUGGUGGGGGUGGGGGUGGCGACUUGUACUUGUAGGGGUGUUUAGGUGGUGAUGGUGGUGGUGGUGGUGGUGGUGGGGACUUGUACUUGUAAGGAUGCUUGGGUGGUGAUGGUGGUGGAGGAGACUUGUACUUGUAAGGAUGCUUGGGUGGUGAUGGUGGUGGAGGUGGUGGAGACUUAUACUUGUAAACAGGAGUUGGUGGGGGAGGAGAUUUGUACUUGUAAGGUUUCUUGUGUGGUGGUGGUGGUGGAGGAGAGUAGAUCGGAGGAGGCGGUGGGGGAGACUUGUAAUGGUAGGGUGGUAGUGGGUUCUUCUUAGGAGGUGGUGGAGGAGAAGAAUAG